rnacentral:lncRNA from 1 species
GUUUCGAACCCUGAAUUUCUAGUCUACUUUUUCUUAGAGUUUCGUAGUAGGUAAUUUUUUCUGCGAUGAGCAAACUUCGACAGCAUAGUCGUUCGGCAUUCUUUUGCCUCCUCUUCAUACUCCCCACCUUAGUUUUCGGAGAGUGCACCUGUGAAAAAGGAGAAGGGGAUGGGGACCGGAACAAAAGUGAAGCUCUAAAGUACAAAAUUGGGGCGAUUGCAUCCAUCCUAGUCGCCGGUGCAGUCGGUGUUGGUAUCCCAAUUCUUGGGAAGACCAUUCCGGCUUUACAUCCCGAUAGAAACAUAUUCUUCAUCAUCAAGGCCUUUGCAGCCGGGGUCAUAUUGGCUACUGGGUUCAUCCACGUGCUCCCGGAUGCGUUUGAGAGCUUGACGGACCCGGCUCUUAAGGAGAACCCAUGGGGGAAAUUUCCCUUCACUGGGUUUGUGGCCAUGAUGGCUGCCAUUGGGACUUUGAUGGUGGAUUCUUAUGCCACUUCUUAUUACAGCAGGUCUCACUUCAAGAACAAUAUUAAUGCAGACGAAGAGAAGGCCCAAGAGCAUGAGGGUCACGUGCAUGUUCAUACUCAUGCAACUCACGGCCAUGCUCAUGGAGCAGUUGACACUUCGCCCUCAGCAGAACUUCUUAGGCACAGAGUGAUUUCACAGGUAAUUUUCUUUUUGAAUAUUUAUUUUUUUGUGAUUAGUGGUGAUUUUUUUUAAUUAGUUAAUUAAUUUUGAUUUCUGUGGCAGGUUUUGGAGUUGGGGAUUGUUGUGCAUUCUGUGAUUAUAGGAAUUUCGUUAGGUGCAUCUGAAAGUCCUAAAACAAUAAAGCCUCUUGUAGCUGCCUUGUCUUUCCAUCAAUUUUUCGAAGGCAUGGGACUCGGUGGAUGCAUAACUCAGGUAAUUUUUUGCCUAUAACUAUUGAUGCCAAUAUGUUCGUACCCAACUUGGUUAGAGCCAAAAAACUCUGGAUGUUGAUCGGAUAUUAUUUUUUUAAUGUUCUUUGUAGGCGAAAUUCAAGAAUCGAGCUGUUGCAAUCAUGUCCUUGUUCUUCUCUCUUACAACUCCUGUUGGGAUUGGCAUCGGAAUUGGAAUAUCAAAUGUUUAUGACGAAAGCAGCCCGACUGCACUCAUCAUGGAAGGCGUUUUUAACGCGGCAUCAGCCGGUAUCUUAAUCUACAUGUCCCUUGUUGAUCUGCUAGCAGCUGAUUUCAUGAACCCAAAAAUGCAGAGAAAUGGAAGGCUUCAAGCUGGAGCUAACUUAUCUCUUCUUCUCGGCGCUGGUUGCAUGUCUUUGCUGGCCAAAUGGGCUUAAACUAGUUCGUCAAUCAAGGAUAUUGUCCAUAAUUUUUUGUUUGCUUCUCAUUAAGUUUUCUUUCGUCUUUUUUUUCCCUGAAGUUUUGUGUUCUCCUUCUCCAAAUUUGCAUCAAGUUAUUAAUUCAAACAGUGGUUAUUUCGUGUAAGAGAAUUUCUUUGCAACUCAAUGCAAGAGUGGUUAUUUGCUAUACAGUCAAACUUUUAAUCUGAACCGUUAAUCUAGUGGAUCCCUUUGCUAUGCAUGUAUGCAUCAAUGUCAACACCCACCAGUUCUUUUCUAAUUUCUACCUUGAAAUUAUGAUAGGUGGAAAAUGCAAAGCAAGUUUCUUUUACUGUGCAAAAAAUUGGUCCCCUUAUUUCCCAAGUGAAGGUAAGGUCAGCAGAAAUCUUCAAGGAGCGAUUGAAAAUCUACAAAGGAAAAUUUAACUAGUAAAAAGCAGAAACAUAAAUAAAAUAUUUUAAAUACUCUUAAGAGGAAAUGACAUGGAGGAUUGAGAUGGUCAUUUUUGGCUAAACUCAUAAUUCCACUUUCAAAACUCCAAACUUACGAUAAUAAGUGCUGACUCAUAUACAACACCUUUGCUUUUUGAGAAUCUCAGAUUUUUUAAGGGGUCUGAGAAGUGCUUUUAUUUGAUCAUGUGUUUGUUUUGUUGAAGGGUUCUGAGAAGUGCUUUUGUUGGAGCGUAUGUUUGUUUUGUUGAAGGGUUCUGAGAAGUGCUUUUGGGUUGUUAGCUCUUAGGGAUAACAAUUCUAACCAUUAAACCCGAUAACAGUAGAUAACCUUCCGAAUGGAAUAGAUUUAGGUAUGAAAAUUUGGGUAUAGUUUGGGUAUAGGGAAAAACUGUGAAUAUUAUUCGGUUAUGGUUUUGAAUAUGAUUAUAGGGGUUCCUAAUCCGUAUCCAUACCCGAAUCCGACCGAAUAAUAUAUAAUAUAAUUAACAUAUAUAUAUAUAUAUAUACAUUAUUCACUGAAUCCAUUAACUUGAGAAUAAAAAAUUACAUUGUGUGAGUUGCAUUUUGUAAGAAAGUUAAAAAAGUUUUGAUAUUGAUCAAAAUCUAUAAAAUUUAAUAGUAUUUAUGUGAGAUAUCAAAGAUCAACCAACAUUAUCAAUGUUUAGCUUUGUAGAGCUCAUGCAUGUUGUGUUGAUUUCAGAUUUUCGCUAUCAAUCACUCAAUUUUCCACAAAACAUUAUUUUUGAAUUUUCUGGAAGAAUUUAGUGUCUAAUUUGGAAAUCCCAUCCACUAAAAUGUGUAGAUUUCUCAAUAGAUUGAAGGAAAAAGAUGGUAAUUUUGUUUAUCCAUCUCUUCAUGUAUUUUAUUGAAAUUUUUAGUGUCUAAUCAGAAAAACCUAAUAGAAACCUUUUCUUUUUAGCAAAACCCAUCUCCUAAAAUGUCCAGAAUUUUGCAUGACUUGCAGCAAAGAUAUGGUAAUAUUUGAAAGACUCUGAAUUGCUAAUAGAUUCACUUUGUUUGGUAUUUUUAGAAAUUUGAGUCAUUGGAGGAAGAAAUUGGUUGCUUGACUACACCCUGAUAUUUAUUCAAAGCCUAAUUAGUUAUUUACAUUUACAAUUUAUUUCUAUAAAGCUUUCAUGCUUGGAUUUUAAAUAUCUUAGCAAUGACCUGGUGGUGUGGUGUGAUAGUUUACUUGACUAAGUUGAUAACUUUUUAUGACUCGAGAUGUGAAAACCGAUUUUCAGUAUAUUUGAUUAGAGUCAAACUUUGCAGGCAGGUCAUCCCAGAGAGUGUAAUCUACAGUUAUGGAACUAUCCUGUUGGACCUCUUGAGUGGAAAACAUAUUCCUUUAAGCCAUGUACGUUGACUUACAUUCCUUGAACCUUUACGUUAUUCUUCUUUCAAGGAUUGUUUUUAUCUCUUCCCUGUGAAUUUAUUGACAUUUCCUGAUUUUCUACUAUGUUGGUGCAUGAUCUCAAGAUUCCAAAUAUAGGCUCGAAUUAUGUUUUAGGAUCCUACUGCUUUAAUUUUCAUUACCAUUCUAUGAAGCUCCGAUCAUUUUGAAUGUUUUUGGCUUCAUUGUAUAUAAUAUGUAUUUAUGUCCUGCACUUGAUUUAUUAUUUUGACAUGGUUGGUAUUAUUGAUAUCUCAAAUUCAACAAGUAACAAUUGGACUCCAUGAACAAUAUAGGUUCAUUAUGUUUACUCAAAACACUACUUUUAUGUUGAAUAUUUUUGUCUUUUAUGAAUCUUCCUGAGCUCAAAUUGCACUAAACCCGAACUUUUUUAGGAAUAUAAAGUUGGAAAAUAAUUCUCUUUAGUUUACUGCUUUAAAAACAGAAAUAGGUUUCGUGUUAUCCUGAAGUCAUUGGUUUGCCAUUUUUUUGUUUCGUGAUACAUAGUCCCUCUAAUUGUUCAUAUUGGUUGGUUAAGGUGGCAUCUCAUGUUUUAAUGAGCCUCCAAAAAUACACUUUUGUGGUUCCAACCAUGCUUUAUUCUCUCGGAAAGGCAUGUGCCACAUAUUUUGUUCCUUAUUGUAAAUAUGUAUGUAAAUAGUAUUAUCUAUUGUAUAUAUAUUUAGAACUUUCAUCAUGUUCUUUUAUAGUUUUAAAGCCUGCAGUAUUGCGUGGACAAUUUUUUUUAGGAUAUACUAUGUUCAUGGUGUCCCAUUGACACAAGUAACUACCAACUGACACUUUUAUAUGAAUCUCAGUUUCUUUUAACAAUACAAUAUUGAUGUAUCAUUAAGUUGUGGUUUAAAACUAAUCGACCCGACAUUAGAUAUAUCUACAAACCAAAGACAAAAAGUAGAGAACCGAAAUCAAUCAUGCAGAUGCACCAAUUUCCUUCCACUACAACUAUAGUCAUGCCAUAAAUGGUCAUGCCAUAGUGAUUCGAUAAUUCUAGUCAACAUAAUAUUAUUCAUAGCUGUAAAUUUAAUUAAGACAACCCGUAAGAUUUAUAUUGAUUUCCUAAUUCUCAUCAUUACGUCAUUUCCUAUAAACAUUAAUUCAAGAGUAAAUAUCAGUUUACUACCCUCAAGUUUCAUGAUUUUCAACAUUUGGUACAUCAGGUUUUUUUCGUCCCAGAGUCAUACCUAAAGUGUUAAUUUUGGGACAGUCUCAUACAUCCAUUAGUCAAAUUGUUAACUCUGUCGUUAAUUGAUGACGUGGUGCCUAUGUGGACAAUGACUUGGCGCCACAUGUCAUUAAGGGAUCCAUGUGGAAAUUCAAAAUUAAAAAAAAAAAUAAAAUUUGGUCCUCUUCUACCUCCCUCGACAUUUUCUUCCUCCCUUAUCCCUCCAUUCUCUCCCCUGCACCAACCCACCAAACCUUCCUCUCCUCUCCUCUUCGACUCGUCAUACAUCCACCCUUCCCCCUCCAUCUUCAACUCCACCCAUCCACCCUUCCCCCUCCAUCUUCGACUCCACCCAUCCACCCACCCUUUCCCUUCCAUCUUCCCCCUUCAUCUUCGACUCCACCCAUCCAACCCACCAAACCCUAAUCUGCAUUGUGCCCACUCUAGCCGCUCGCCCUUUCUUCCCCCAAAACCGUAAUUUGUAUUUUCUUAAUCCCAAUUUCCUAAUCAUCUCAAAAUUUCCACAUUAAUUCAUCUCUUAAUUUCAAUAAUCUGUAAUAAUCCCCAAAUUUAACUGCAGAUCGUACAACGUCGUUCAAGUCACGAAACCCUCUCGAGAAACCCUUCUUCUUCCUCGACAACUUCACCGUUCAAUUCACCGACGCCCAAGACAGAGACGGGGACCAAUUCGACGUCCUCUUCGACCCCCUUGGCAUCUCGACGGCUUGGAGGAGCCCGUCAUACGAUUUGAUGGGCAAGCUCGAGCAGGUUGAGCGCGAACUCAGGCCGAUGGUGUCGGCGUUGGUGGCUAGCACAAAGGACGAGCAAAGAGGGAGAAAAGAAAGAGGGGUUGGUUGCUGGAUUGGAUGAAAGGGUUCGAGAGAAAGCUAGGAGGGGGCGGUGCCGACGAAGGAGGAAGGAUCGUGGCUUUCUGCUUUCUGUGUUGGGAGAAAAAGAAAAACGUUCAGGGAAAGAGAGAGAGAGAGAGAGAGUCCCUACCCUCUGCAUCUUCUGCAAUCGCGACAAUGGGGUGGUGAAUGAAGGUUUGGGUUGGGAGGGGGGACACGGGUAGACGAGAAGAUCUGGGUGUGGGUGAGAAGGUAGGCACGAGGGGAUUUGGGGAAGACGAUCUAGGUUUUGCUUUUUUAUUUUUUUAUUUUUUUAUUUUGAUUUUUAACUUUUCUUUAAAUAAUUUUUUUUUUUAAUUUUUAAUUUCCAUGUGGAUCCCUUAAUGACACGUGGCGUCCAGUCAUUGUCCACAUAUACGCCACAUCAUCAGUUAAUGGCACAAUUUGACUAACGGAUGUAUGAGACUGUCCCAAAAUUAAUACUUUAGGUAUGACUCUGGGACGAAAAAAAACUUGAUGUACCAAAUGUUGAAAACCACGAAACUUGAGGGUAGUAAACUGAUAUUUACCCUUAAUUCAAUUACGGCAGUCAUAUAGAAAAUUCAUUAUUAGAUAUAUGGAAACUAAACAAAUAUAUGUAUAUAUCAAAGAAAAGACCCACUCACAAAUCAUGUCGUAGAGUCGAACCCGCCUCACGGGUAUCGAAGUUCCUUGCGAUGCAUUUCACCUAGAAACGAUACCAUUUAUGUAAUUCUAUAAUGUACUAACGUAUAAAUGCGUUUUCGUACAAAGUUCGGCUAAUAAAGAAACUAUUUUAAAACGAUCGAAUUUUGGAAAACAAAGGGCGGAUUCGGAUUCGGCAUGUUGAGAAACCAAAGGAGAGACAUCGAGUUCCUCCACGCGCCACCGCAUGCGUCGCCACAAGGUGGCUGCACUAGCAGCCACGCGCCACCAUGCUAUGGUUUCCCAUAUGCCUUUUUCACGAAAUCUACAGUUUUUGUAGAUUGCAGGGUUGGCUUUCAGAGCUCAUUUCGAGCUCGAUUUUCAACCAAAUUCGAUGAUUUAAAAACCAAUGUGAAGCUAGAAAAUGUAAGGAACAAAACUAUACCAAAGUGGGGCCAAAUUAACGUCGGUGUUGGCCUAAACAUGGCUGGUCAGUCACCAGAAAGCUGGGGGAAAAAUCCUCCCAGUGUGUGUUCUUCAUCAAAUCAUCCCCCAAACUCAUUUUAAGGUUAAAACAACAUAAAAGCUUCAAAGUAAGAAGGAUUUAAGGGUCUUGAGGCUCACCAUGGUCGGAGAAAAUGAGUGAACACUGAUAAAAGUCACUGUGCAGUUCCAUUUUUCCACUUAGGUGUUCUGAGCAACUGGGAAUAAGGUUGGUGGUCUUCCGCAAGGUUAAUGGUGAUGAUAUUGGUUUGGUUGUGAGGUUUGUCGAAGUACGGCGAUGUGGUGGUGGUGCUGCUCGGCUCCAUUGUUUUUUACAGAGAGAAGAGAGGGAUAGUUUGAGGGAAAGAGAGAAGAGAGAGAGAAGAGAGAGAUAAGAGAUAAGAUGGAGAGAAAUAAGAGAUGAAAGAGAGAAAUCCAGAAUUUCUAGAGAGAGGGGACACGGGACAGGGUAGGAGUGGAGUGUGGGCCUCAUGUGGCUCACAAAACAAGCCACAAAAUAUCUAUAAACAUGAAAUUACCAAAUCACCCUUCACGUUCGUAUAUCCGUAAAAUCUCCAUCGUGGCUCCAAAUUCAAUUUCGCUUGCGCCCACACAUUUGUAUUGUUGCAUACUACGCAAAUGCGCUAAAAGAAUGAGUCAUACGUCUCUCUAAACGAUGGUCAACGAAAGUCAAAAUCCUUGCCUAUAGGGGCAUUUUCGCCUAUUCCCUUAUUUAAUUAAUAAAAUCGUAAAAUUAGGGACGGGUUGUUACAAUCUACCCACCUUAAAAAAAUUUCAUCCUCAAAAUUUGAAAUAACUUGCCGUGCAUAAAAUACUUAAAGAUAGGAAGAAAAUAUAUAUAAAUAAGAAAUUAAAUUAGAGCGGUUGCAUAAAAGAGAAUGUCAUUCCGUCGUGAUUAGAUUGCAAUGAUUCCUCUUUCAUGCCUCCAAACUCAAACUUUCCUCUACGUGUGCGACAGACAACACGCUACAGAUUGACCUAGGUAUCUAUCUUUUCUUAAUUCUUUAUUUUUCUUCUUUCUAAGGUCAGAAUCAGGCUUUAAUGCCUUAAUCUGAAGAUUUUUGGUAUUGUAAUUAGAUUCAAUUUGGGAAAUUAAAUUAGAAAUUGCGGGUUUUAGUGUUAAAUCGAAUUAAAUCAAAUUUUAGGGUUAGGAAUUAGGAGCAUAUAUUUUCUAAUGUUUCAAAGAACACACUUCACACUCAUUGAUAGAGACGUUAAAGAUUUAGACAGAAACAUGAAAGAUGAUAAUGCUAAUGGUGUCUCCCUGCGUGGUGAAACGUCAAGAUCAAGCUCUUUAACAUUACACUGUAUUGCAUUGUAGACCCACACUAUGAUGAGAAAUUUCUCAUCACAAUCACAGUUUAAUGUUUAAAACAAAGUUUCAUUGCAUAUUUAGCUCUGCAUCUCCAGGUUCCAAGUUCGAUCUUGAUCUUUGUAGAUUUGAUUGGGUUUUACUUUUUCGUUUUCUUGAUUUUUCCAUGGAAAAUAGGAUGAUUAUGAGAAAAUAAGUUAGUUUUCUUGGUUUCACUGGUUUAACUUGUGCUUGGGAAUUGUAUUUGAUAAGUGGUCUAUUUGUGUUUUGGUUGUAAUUCUACACAGAGUAAAUGACCUAAGAGUACAAACUUAAACUCAACAUCCAUUCUUUGUGGUUACAGUAUGAGCAGGUAUUUGUGUUUUGUGUUUUUUUUUUUGUGUUUACCUAUAAACAUUUACCAACCGCAUCCAAGUGUGCAUAUUUUGAAAUGGUAACGGCUAAUGAACUUGAGGAUUUUCUUUUGUAAAAGAACCCUUUAUGCUUCACCAUGUGUUUCAUCAUGUAACUGCUAGCUAUAAGAAGGAACCCGUAAUGAAUUAUUCUUUUGAACUUGUUGAAAUAUAGAAGGGUCUCUUUAAUAAUCACCAGCAUUUAGUUUCUCUAAUCUCUAGUUCUAAGUGGAGCCAAUUUCCGGGGCUAAUUAGUUUCGUGGUAUAUGGUAUAGAAAGAAAAUACUGAUUUCAAAAUUCAAUUGGCUCUUACCAAGAAGAUUUAAAGGUCAUAGUCAAGCUAUUCUUCAUGCCUUUAUGCUCUAAAAUGUGCAGAGAUUUUAUAUUUUUGUAGAAAACAAGUUAGAGAGAGAAGGAGAAAAUGUAGAGAGAGAGAGAGGGAGGGAAUUGUGAUAAAUGGUUUUCAUUACUUGAUAAUGUUAUUACAUUAAAGAGUAUAUAGACCUUGGCUUUGUACAACAAUACCCUUAACUAUAACUAUGACUAAUUACAUAUUAUACCACUACUCAUCUCAACUAACACUUUACUGUUAUAACAAACUAAUAGUUUUUUAUGCUGAGGCAUUUGCCUCAAUACACCCCCCUCAAGUUAAGAUUGGACUCAGCAAGAGUUCCGAUGGGAAGCUUGGAUUUUAAGUAACAAAACCUGUUUUUGGACAGAGACUUAGUGUAAAUAUCAGCCAACUGAUCUUCACUACAAACAAACUGAACUUUGAUAAGCUGUGCAAGAACCAACUCUCGAAUAUAAUGAUAAUUGAUUUCGACAUGUUUAGUUCGGGCAUGAAAAAUAGGAUUUGAAGCAAGAGAGAUAGCUGAGAUAUUGUCACACUAUAAGGUGGGAAUAUUACUGAAAGAGAAGCCAAUGUCAUGAAAUAUUUUGCAUAUCUAGGUAAGCUCAGCAGUUGUGUGUGUCAAGGAUCGAUACUCAGCUUCUAUGGAGGAUCGAGCUACAGUAGCUUGUUUCUUUGCACUCCAGCUGAUUAGGUUUAAACCAAGAAAAACACUAUAACCACUAGUGGAUCUGCAAUCAAACGUGCAACCCGCCCAAUCUGCAUCUGAGUAUCCAGUGAGAUGAAGUUGACUCUUCUUAAACCAAAUGCCUUAAGAAACUGUUCCUUUCAAAUAUCGAAGAACUCUUUUAGCAGCUUGCAUAUGUUGUUCACUUCGAGCAUGCAUGAAUUGGCAAAUUUUAUUCACUGCAAAGGAGAGAUCAGGUCUUGUCCAAGUCAAAUAUUGAAGACCACUAACAAUGGACCUAUAAUCAGUGCGAUUAAACAGAAGAGGACCACUGUGAUCAAGCUUGGUAGAACUGAGACGAGUGCAACAAGGUUUAGAACCUUCCAUAUUGGUCUUUUUGAGGAGAUCAAGGAGAUACUUACUUUGGUGAAGAAAGCUACCCUCAGGUGUUCUUUGAACUUCCAGUCCUAAAAAAUAGUGCAAAGGCCCCAAAUCCUUAAUUGGAAAGACAACACUCAAUUUCUGAAUAAAAGAUUGACAUAGGGUAGUGUUGGGACAUGUAACAAGUAUAUCAUCCACAUAUACCAACACUAUUACCAAGGCAGGUCCUUUGAAAACAAAUAAGGAUGCAUUUAAAGAAGAUUAGACAAAACCAAAUGUGUGUAGAACCUGAAAUAAUUUGUCAAACCAAGCCCUUGGUGCUUGUUUUAGGCCAUAGAGGGACUUUCUCAAUUUACAAACAUGGUGAGGCAUUGAGGGAGUAAUAAAGCAUGCAGGUUGCUCCAUAUACACAUCUUCUUUUAAAUCACAAUGAAGAAAAGCAUUGCUGAUAUCCAAUUGAUUUAAAAACUAAUUGAAUUGAACUGCAAGAGACAGAAGAAAUCUUAUGGUAACUGGUUUAGCUAUAGGACUAAAUGUAUCUUGAUAGUCAAUACCAGCCUAUUGAUGAAAUCCCUUUGCUAUAAGGCGAGCUUUAUAUCUGUCUAUAGUGCCAUCAGGUUUCUUUUUAAUUCGAAAAACCCACUUGCAUCCAACAACAUCCUAAGAAUUCGAGGCAUGGACUAAAUACCAUGUACCAUUAGAUUGCAAUGCAUUGAAUUCUUCUUGCAUUGCAGAUCUCCAAUGAGCAUAUUUAGAUGCCUGCUAGUAUGUAUUAGGAACAUAUUCAAGAUCAAUAGGAAGGGGAUGUUUGGUUGUUGAAUAUGCCUUGAGCUUGUAUAUUCCAGCUUUUGAUAUUGUGACCAUAUGAUGAGUAUUGGCAACACUAACAAUUGGAGUAGAACCAGAUAAACUAGGAGUUGAAUCACUUUGAACAGGAUGGUUAGUAGAAGUAGAUGUAAAGAGACAUUGUGAGAUCCAAUGUGAGAACUGGAUGACAUAUUAAGUGCAGGACCAUCUGGAGUAGCAAAUGUGGGCAAAGAAAAUUGCAAAUCAACUGAUGGUGAGCUAAUAGAAGCAUUGGGAACUGAUGAUAGCUUGGUGUACUUGUGAAAUGGAUAGGUGCCUUCAUCAGAAAGGACAUGUCAAGAUAUAUAAAUCCUGCCAGUAGAAAGUUUUCAACAAAUUAAACGCAUUGAAAGUGAACUCACCCCCUGAAUCUGUACGCAAAGUCUUUAUUUUAUUACCAAGAAAGUUUUCAACAUAAGAUUUGAAUACAACAAAUGUAUGAAAAGCUUCAGAUUUAGCUUUUAAAGGAAAGAACCAACUAUACUUGCUGUAAUCAUCAACGAGUAACAUGUAAUACUGAAAAUCACUAGAGUCAAUUAGCCAGGAUGGAUUCGAUUUAGAAGAGUAGUGAGCACAGAAAGCAACCAACUUUGCUAGUGGUACUUUUCCAAAGAUCUCAGGAUUCAUCCGAUCAAAGCAAUUAAUGACUUCGUGGCUAGUGGAACCACAAAUUUGACAGGAAAAUUUAGAACCUGUGAAAAAUUAAGACUGAAAAUUUCCACAAGAACCUUGAUAAUUUCCAUGAGAAUAAGUGCCUCGAUUGUUGCUUGAAUAGUUGUAAUGAGAAAAAUUCCCUCGAUUUGUCCCUCUGUUGGUAUUAUAAUUGCGAUUGUUGUUAUGACCUCGACUAGAAUUAUGCCUAAAUGAGUUUUGCAGAGGCUGUUGUUGAAUAGAAAAGGCAUGUGGAGGAAUGAGGAUAAGAGGUUCCUGAGAUUGCAUAGAGAAAGCCUAAAAUGGCUCCGUGGCAAUGGAUGACAUAACUUGCUUUCUAUGAGCCAUAAAAAGCUCAUUCGUAAGUAACAGACCAUGAAGUUCAUCCAAAGAAGUGGAUGAGAUGUGAAGCAUAAUAGAGUCAAUAAAGGACUCAAAUUUAUCAAGCAAGCCAUGAAGAAUCGCUGCAAUUAAAUCACGAUCAGGAACUGCAACUCCAGCAGCUGCAAGAGAAUCAGAAAUUUCCUUAAUUUGUUGCAGAUAUUCCGAGAUCGAUCGAGAGCCUUUUUGGACAGUUUGAAGACGAGAGUGUAAUUGAUGAAUGUGAGCUUCAGAUACUCCCCAAAAUCAUUGCUCAAGUUUUGUCCAGAUAUCGCGCGAUGAUGAAACACCAACAGUGAAGGGAAUAAUUUCCUUAAAGAGUGUGGAAUUCAACCAAAUGAGAAGGUUUUGAUCUUUUUCAUACCACAGUUCAAAGGUAGGGUUGAAAGAAUGAUCAGGCAUAAGCGGCGGUGGACAUGAUUCAGUGCCAUCAAUGAUGCCGAUGAGCUUGUACCGACUGAGAAUCAGCAUAAACAAUGCACGCCAUGGAAGAUAGUUUGAUCGGGACCAUACUACCAAUAUUCUGAAUCGUCAAAGAGGUAUAUGAAUUCGAGGCUAAAGAAAGUCCAUAAAUUCCAAAGGAAUUAGGGUUUGGCAAUGUCGGUUCAAUCCGAGAAGACGAAUCCAAGGGCGAUACCAUGGCUGAUAGAGAUCAAAUCAGAAUGCAAAUUACAGAAAAAGUGUACAAAUGAGUUGAGAAUCAAUGAACAUUCAUUGAUUGAUCAGCGGAAGAUGAUCGAUUGCUGUGAGCCAGAACGGCGUGAUACCAUGUAGCCAUGUAGAAACCGAGAACUUCUCGAGCAAGAAACAAGUUAGAGAGAAAAUGAGAAAGUGUAGAGAGAGAAUUGUGAUAAAUGGUUUUCAUUACUUGAUAAUGUUAUUACACUGAAAAGUAUAUAUAGCCCUUGGCUUUGUACAACAAUACCCUUAACUAACUAUGACUAAUUACAUAUUAUACCACUACUCAUCUCAUAACACUUUACUGUUAUAACAAACUAACAGUUUUUGAUGCUGAGGCAUUUGCCUCAAUAUUUUUAUUUGUUAGAUAAACGUACAGAAGGUUCCACUUUGAUUAAUGGAUUAUUUUCUUUGUUAAUGUGAAUAUGUGGUACGCUUAGAUAAACAGUUAGGUAUUUAUUUAUUUUCAUAUGAAUGAGAUGUAAUGUGAAUUAAAAUUUGGAAGCUUUAAUGAAAAUGGCUUCUCAAAACUUUUAAUUAACAAAAAACCAUCUACUAACUUUAUUUAAUAAAAAGGACUUAAACUUUAAUAAAAAUGAUUCAAAUUUUAAUGAAAAUGAUAAAAGUUUUACAUAAUAACAAAAAAAUAAAUAAAUAAAAAACCAACAAAUAGUGAUGCGCGGGAUCACGCUUCACAUCACACACAUACACACUUUCUCACUCAAUAGUUCAACCUUUUUCUCUCUCUUACUCUUUCCCAUGUUCCCAUCAAUUUUUCUCUCCUCUUUCACCUACCCAUUCACAUCAACUUUUUUUUCACCUCUCCCCACUCUUCUCUCUCCUUUCACCUCACUCCAUAAAUAAUUUAUUUUUUAUUUUUAUUUUAUUACUUGUUUAUUUGACUAUUCCUUCAAUUUUUUGAGAAUAAACUAAGUAAUAAUAUUACAAGAUAAAAAAUAAAGAAAAAAUUUAUUAUUCAGUUUUAUGAACACUUAUAUUGUCACUAUUUCUUAAACAGGACAUUGACUACUUCUUAAAUUUGAACACUAUUUCUUAAACUGAACAUUGACUACUUCUUAAACCGAACACUAUUUCCUUAAAAUGACCAUUGACUACUUCUUAAACUAAACACUAACUAUUUCUUAAAUGUAACACUAAUACUAUCACUACUUCUUAAACUGAACACUGACUAUAUCGUAAACUGAACACUAACUAUUUCUUAAACUGAACAUUAGUACUAUUACUAUUUUGUAAACUAAACAGUGACUAUUUCUUAAACUGAACACCUUGUAAACUAAACACUGAUUAUUUCUUAAACUUAACACUAGUACUAUCACUAUUUUGUAAACUAAAUAGACUAUUUAUUAAACCAAAUAAUAGUACUAUCACUAUUUAGUAAACUAAGCACUGGUUAUUUCUUAAACCAAACACUAGUAUUAUCACUAUUUCGUAAACUAGUACUGUCACUAUUUCGUAAACUAAACACUGACUAUUUCUUAAACCAAAAACUAACUAUUUCGUAAAUUAAAUACUGACUAUUUCUUAAAAUCGAACACUAGCACUAUCACUGUUUUUUAAACUAAACACCAACUAUUUUAUAAACUGAACACUAUAAGGUUCAAAAUUUGAAGCUCUCUUCUCAUUAUCAUAUGAAUCACUGGCAAUAAUAUUUAUAUUCUUACAGAGUUAGAAUAAUGAUUUUCACAUUCCUAUUUGUUCUUUAACAUUUCUUCAAAGAAUUUAUUUGACUUUCCUUUAAUUUAUUCAAUACAAAAAUAACAACAAAAAUAUAAAUGAAAGAGAAAAGCUAAUGUGCUUUCAUUGAGGAUCAUAAUCUAAUAUUUUUUUAUUUUUAGGUUUUAGCUGGUUAGGGUUAAAAUUAAUAAAGAAUUCUAUAAUUGGAACAUAGGAUGAUGAUGACAUGCUACCCCACAUGUAAGGCUAAGUGGUAGUCAUGUAUUGAUGUUAGCAAUAUAUUUUUUUAUCUCAAAUUUCUCUCUCUCUAAAUUUUUUUGGGGUUUAUUGAUGUCAGUUUGAAUAGAUUUGGUUGACAUUCUCUUCUCUCUCUCUCUCUGAACAUUUUCCUUCUUGAUGAAAUAUUUAAAAAGUAAUUUGUGUGCUGCAUUUGCACGGUUGGUUUUCUGUUGAAUUGGUAGAUGCUUGCUUUCGCACUGCUCGCGUGCACACGUGCUUUGGGUUGAACAAGUUUUUGUAUUUUUUGUUUAUUAUCUCUUGUCCUUAUCAUUAAAUAAAAGUUAUUAGGUGACUUUAGGUUAAAACUCAAAGUUUUGAAGCCAUUUUCAUUAGUUUUUCUUUAAAAUUUUCUUUUUACAUGGGCUAGUAUUUCUAGUAUCGAUUUGAGAUUUUAAUGUUGAGGAAACUUCUUGUUGUACCCUAUAUCUUUUGACUUACUUUUGCUACAGUUACCGUAUUACUGUGAGAACCCGUAUUUUUAAAAUAUAGAACAAAUGGUAUUUUUUAAACUACUAUGAUAUUGUUUAUUUCUUUUCCAUAUAUAUAUAUAUAUAUAUAUUACAUAUUAGUUUUUGCAUUUUGCUGUCAACUUCUAGUCGAUAGUUUCUUACAAUUAGCAAGGUGUAGUCUUGCAAUUGAUGUCUAUCCCAUUUUGCUUGGAGGUGUUCAACAACUAUAUGGCUUCCUUCAUAGUCCAACACACAACAAUUCAUUUUCUUGACAGCUGUUAUAUUUACAAUGAGGUGUGAGGUUUUGAGGGAUUCCACUGACACCAUCAACUUCCACCAUUGUUGGCAAAGCCACAUGUGUUAAUCCCAAGUCAUCUACCCCAUGCACAACGACACCUUGAAACCCACUUGUCAAGUGGCCAUUCUUCAGUUACAUUUCUAUCCCUACAUAUAAUAUAUUUUACAUUGUAAGGAGCCGGCCCUUUCUAUUGUAAAUAGAGGUUGCAUUUCAUUCUUUUAUUCACGAUUUUAGGAAACACUAGCAAAAAAGCCCAUGAAACCGCGGGUUUGCAACUCUAGUUCCACCUAAUUACAACAAUGUUUAUAAUUUUAUUUCAAUUAUACUCAUGUGUACCAUAUCCCUCUACAAUACCCUGCCACCAAAGGGGGUUCAUGAUUCGUUAUGACGCAUGCUUUAAAUUCAGGAACUUUUAUUCCUUCUUUGUUCUUUAAUUAUUAAAUUUAUAAUCCUUGAGAGAAUGUUUUACAGUGUGCAAGUAGAGCAGCUUUCAUUUGCCAAUUUCUCAUACGAUAAUGCAAGCUUCAUUGCUGAAUUAAAAAAGAGUAGAUAAAAUUGAACCCAAAAGGCAAAAGCCUUCUUUAACAAAUAGAUAUGUGACAGUCGUUUGGGAUAUAGACAUGGGUGUACCUGGAAGAAUAGAGAUGCACUGAGUCGGAGAGAGCAAAGAGAGAUAGCGGAAUUUUGGAGGAAUACUGGACGAUGACGAAUUGCACGGCCAGAGCUGUUGGUGGCGGUGAUUCUGCAGCGAAAGACAGUUAGAAAAAAGUAUUCAAUAAAUCUUACAUAACUAUAAUAAUUCAGUCAUGAGCUUCAGAUCAUUGGCAUUUCAAUUAUAAGGAUUCAUAAUUUCAAAUUUUAAUAUAGAAUUAACUGUUUACAAAAUUAGAGGCAGCUAAUGGCAUAGCGUACCGGCUUCAAGUAUGCUAAAGUUAGACAUAAUCUUCAGUAUGUAGAGGUGUUUUCUUUUCUGAAUUUUUCCUGCAACGGUUCAUAGCUGGUUUCUACAAAUUUUGUAAACGGGAGCUGCUAGUAUGGAUGUGUGUUAAAUUUAUCUCGUAACAAUAGGACGUAUAAGAAAACGAAGUGAAGGUGCAUAUAUAAUCCAUGUUUCCUUUUUUUUUCAUCUGCUCUAUUAGAUAAAUGUGAGUACUAAAUUAGUGCAUUUAAAUUGAAAAGAGUUGACGGAGGCAUAAUUGGAGAAAGAAAAGUCUUUAUAUCAAUAAAAAUUAAAAGAUGCUUCAUAAUUGGACAUAGAAAAUGAGGAAAAUGAUAGGGAUGAAACAAAGAAAGGCCAUUAAAAUUUUGAGAGAGGCAUUCUCAGCACGUAAACAAACAGAGGCAUUCCCAAACAGACAAUACAAUAUACAGUAAAAGGAAAAUAAUAACUGAGGAGGAAAAAUAAAAACCAAAAAAUAAAAAAAAAUUGUAAACCUCAGUAGCAACAUAGAAUGCAUAAGAAUUAAGCAUUUGUUUUCAGGGUUUGAGGGGUUGAGUUUGUUUUCUAAUUUGAAGCAAAAAAUACUUGAAUGAAAUGCCAAAUAAAAACCCCAAAAUCUUACCUGAUCACAUUUAAUGCCAAUAACGAUGAUUAAAAUAUGAUAUUGAGAAGCAUAAUACAAAAAUGAUAUAUGAUAUUUAAAUUGAUUGGCCUAUCUGAUGUUUAUUCAGUUCAAGUAUCAAUUUCAAAUAUCUAAUAGGGUUUCAAAUAUUAGAAAGAGGUAUGUUAUGCAAUCUGCAAUUCAAAUAUCCGAAAUUGGCCUGCUUUUGCAGAAGUGCCCAAAAUUCAGGGGUUACUCAAUUUCAUGUUUGAAAGCCAUUCUGUAAUUGAAAAUCCAAAAUUCAGAUUCCUUUCCAAGGUCUUAACAACACGACAGCUGACCACAAAUCCAAAAAAGCGGUUCAACCCCCCAACUUUGACCAAUUUUCACUUUCAAUUCUGGAAUCACAGAUGUAUUCCCAAAUCAGUGUGAAAACAAUGAAGCAAUGAUUACAAAAGGCCACGCUAAUUUUUUGAUAUCCAAAUGUAAGAUUUAUUAACCAAAUGUAAAAGGAGAUGGUAGAGAUGACCGACAUCUGUAUCAAAGGUUAAAUUUAUUAAUCAAAUUAUUAGUACAAUUCUUGCAUCUUAAUAGGUAUCUAAAUAUCUCCACCUUCAUUUAGUGAAAGUGAUGUUGGUGGUGGUGUUGGAAAGGGGACGAAGAACAAAGAAAAAUCAAAACAGAAAAAUACACCACUAAUUUAUCAAUCAAUACCAACUCUCUCAUGCGAAAAAACCCAAAGUCUCAAAAACUACAGACCCAUAACAGUUUGAUCAAGUAACUAACCGAUUACAACAAUCAGAUGGCCAAAUGGAAAACCCAAAAUCUCUCUACCUCAAAUGCUCAUCUGCAACCACACUCCUUACACUCCCUGUCUCUUUCCCCAACCCAUGCUUCACCAAAUGACACACCUAGACUCUCUUCCCACAGCCAAGGAGCAACCAAAUUGAACUCUAAUAUAAUAAAACUUAAACAAAACUCUAAAUCUACGAAAAACAAAGUCUUUGAUACUUCUAAUAGAGUUUCAUAGUUUUCUUUCGAAGUGAAAAAGACCCGAAUCAACACAAAGUCUCAACCCUCUGCACAGUAACUCACCUGAGUGAGAUUCUAAAACAACAAAAACCCAAGAAAACAUGCUCUUGGUUCUGACUUGCUCACAAAAACACACACACCACUUAUGUAUUAUACUUCCAUAUACCCCCACUACAGUAAAUUCAACAGGCUCAAAUCAAAUCUAGGGUUUGAGAAACCCUAACAAAACAAUUCAAGAACAAAUACUAAGGCCAAAUUUACCUACUUAUACACAAAAUCUCCACUAAUCACAUAUAAAAUUAUUCCUAAAAAAAUUAUAUAACUCAUGCAUGAAAGUAAAAAACACAAAAAUUGGUACCUUUGGCUCACUGCUCUGUUCCCCAAUUAUGUGUUUUAUUCAACCACCAAAACCCUAAAACAAAAAGCAAAGAAAUCAAUGAAAUUCAUGCACCAAUUGAAAUGAAGCUUCAGGCGAAAAUUGAAGUGUUGCAAAUAUUACAAAAGAAGAAUUAUUUAACAGAAAUUUUGAAAAAGUAUAUUAAACCCUAAACCGCUAUUUAGAAAUCAAACAAAAAAUCUUGACUUUCCUAGAAAAUUUCACUUCUUUCUUUGAUUGAUUGAUUAAUCACUUUCACUCACUCCAAUCCUCUAAGAACCCAUAAUUUUUUCAAUCCUUGGAUCCCUAGAAAAUCACCAGAUUAUAAAUUUCUUUGGUAAAUAAUUUUUUAAAAUCUAAAGCGGGGUAAGCAAAUUGCUUACGUUUUGUGUCACAUCCUGGCCCGAGCCCCCACCACAUCCUAGGCUCGACUCAACCAUAGCACAAUAUUAUCCGCUUUAGGCCCCAACCAUGCCCUCACGGUUUUGUUUCUGAGAACUCACGAGCAACUUCCUAGUGGGUCAUCCAUCCUGGAAAUGCUCUCGCUGCAAUCUCGCUUAACUUUGGAGUUCUUACGGAACCCGAAGCUAUUGAGCUCCCAAAAAGCCUCUUGCUAGGAAGAUAUGAGAAUAUAUAUAUAAGGCAUAGAGGAUCCACUCCCCUGGGCAAUGUGGGAUCUAACAAUGUCACAUCUCGGCCCCGGCCCCCACCAUAUCCGAGGCUUGACUCCGCCAUAGCACGAUAUUGUCCGUUUUGGGCCCCAACCACGCCCUAAUAGUUUUGUUUCUGGGAACUCACGAGCAACUUCCCAGUAGGUCACCCAUAUUGGGAAUGCUCUCGAUGCGAUCUUGCUUAACUUCAGAGUUCCUAUGGAACCCGAAGUCAGUGAGCUCCCAAAAUGCCUCGUGCUAGGAAGAGAUGAGAAUAUACAUAUAAGGCAUAGAGGAUCCACUCCCCUGUAUGAUGUGGGAUCUAACAUUUCGUAAAGAGGGUUAUGGAAAAUAUGUGUAUGGACUGGUGGUGCGUUGCGGUUCUCAUGUGUGCUAUGGAGUUAGUUGCCGGAUUUGGGUGAAUUGGUGGAUAAGCAAUUUGUAGAGUUGGUGGUGGUUUUGUUUGAUUGAAAAAUGAGGAAGGCUAUUGAAAAUGGAGCACUGAAGUAGGAAGGAAGAGGUGGAAGAAGAGAAGAAGAAAGAGAGAAACGAAAGAUGCUUCUAGCAUCUUCCCUAGAAAAUCUGAUAGCCACGCACGCGCAACACACAUGACCAAGGGCAAAAUGGCCAAUUCACUGCACAAUCCCACCAAAUUUAGAAAACACUGAAGAAAAUGAGGGGCAAAUUCGUCCGCACACUAUAGGUAAAUAGUAACCCAAAACUAGGUUUUAGUAUAUAUAUAUAUAUAUAUAAUAUGUUGGCUGCUAGGAAGCCAUGCAUGUAUGUCCGUGUAUAUGUGUGUGUACAUAUAUAUAUGUACGUGUGUGUAUAUACAUUAUAUAUGUUAGAGAGAGAGAUUAGAAAAGAAAAUAGAGUAAUAAAGGCAUUAGAAAGUGAUCAAGGAGCUUGCUCAAGUACGUGGAACUUAACUAUUUCAUAGUGAUGUGGAUAAGUACGUGGAGCUUAGCUAUUUUGGUAGUUCUGUGGAUCUUGGUUUUAGCUUUGGAAUCCAAGUAGGGGAAAUAAGGCAAACCUUUACAGAAAUUGAUUUUAUUAAAUUUCGUGAAGUGAUAAUAUUCUUGAUCUUUUUGGUUGAUUAAUGUGAUUGGAUAAUAAUUAGCUAAUUGCUUCAGUUAAGUGUUUACUUGUUCUUGGUUACAGAAUUAUUGCUGGAAUGCUAUUCGUUGAGAAUAUAAUGUGAUACAUGUGAAAGAUAAAAUGACAUUAUUUGUGCAUCAUUCAUGUUGAUGUGGUUGUAAUUUUAGUACUUAGAUUGGAAGUAUGGAAAUGAGGGUAGUUGGAAAGGAUCUUUUGUGUAGUUGAAUCUAUUCAUUGUGAAACCAGUUCCAGGCAAGUCCGAUGUACACAUUAGAAUAGGAUCAAUGGGAAUUGUCGAUGUGGGUGAUUUGGGCUGGAGAUCAAUGCAUUAGAUAAGAUGAUUAGCAAAAGGGGUUUACGAACUUGGGAUAUCAUAUGGGGGUUAGUUUCUAUAAUAGAACAUUUGAAUCACCUCUGCAGGGGUAAAAUGAAUGGUGUGGGACGUGCAUGUUUAUGAACAAGGGUAGCCGAAGAGGUUGCAUUGCAUUCAUGCAUUAUUAUCAAUAAUGAUUUGAUAUUUGGCUAUAUGAUUUCAUGACACUUAAUUUAAUAUUAUCAAUUACUGUGAUAAGGUUAUGUCUCUAUUGAGCUGUUGAAACUCACCUCUCUAUUGUUAUGCAGGUUUAAAAACUAAACAGUUAAAAAGGAUAAACGGGAUGAGAUCGGAUUAAGUGUGAGGAUAGAAUUUUGUAUUUAUUUAAUUUUGUCUUGUAAAGAAUUAUCGAUUUCUGGUUAUAAGAGGAAUUUCAUAUUUUCCACCCAGUUUCACUUUCCUUUUAUUUAAUUUUAUUUUUAGCUUGCGCGUCGGAUUCGGGUUCGAAAUUUUUCCUAUUGACCUCGGGUCUGUGGCGUGACAAUUACAUACUAGUAUUAUAAUAUUUUUGGGACAGUUAGGGGUUACACUUUUCGAAAAGGUUUUACAAAAAAUUAUUUUCAGGCCCACUCACCCUUAUUUUUCACGCCCUUCCCCAAUGAUUUAGUGGCAGAGGUUUUGUGACAACAAGGAUGGUUGGUAAAAGUUGUUAUAUAGGAGACUUCUCCCUUCGGUAUAAAUGUCCUUACUUUUCUUUUACUGCAAUUUAUCUAUGCUCUGACAUCACUUGUGUGAUAUAAGUUCGAUUUCGCUCACAUGCGCACUCUAAAUUAGUCACUUUUAGGUUUUAAUUUAUUCACAUUUUCCAUAUCACUACACUUGAUGGCUUUGUUACCUUUCAGGUGUUGGACAACACAUUGCGAUUCGGGUGUCUAGGUGGACAUUUCGGGUUGGGAUGUGUCAAUAAUCUUUUUGACAAACUUCGUUAAAAUUUUCGUCCAAAAUAAAGAGUUUAAAGGAAAAAAAAAUGAAUGAGAGUUGAUUGAAUGCUAACAGGGCCGAAAUAUAAUCAGUACAAAUUAUGUCGAUUAGGGCACUUCCAGUGUGUAAAGGCACCCCUUGGCAAUUGACAAUUAAAUCCCCUCAAGUGAAUAGUAACUCCCUUCAAUGAAUAGUAAUUACCUUUUGCAUCUCCAUUCCUAAAUUGAAUAGCUAUGACAAUAGACAGUAAAAUAUCAGUAUUUUUUAUUUUAUAAAAUAAUAAAAAAUAAUUUUAUUUUUAAUUUCAGAUAUGAUUUUUAACCGAUCUCGUCUGGUCACGUGUCAUUAUCUAAAAAUACAAUUUUUGUCAGUAAAUUUCGAUAAGAUUUUUAACUAAUUAUGUUGCGCAAUAUGUCCUUCCAUGUUCUGAAUCGUUGAAAAUAUUGAAAUGUGGUGUAAGGUGAGAGAAAAUGGUAAGGUAUUUAAAGAAUUUUUUUUUAUAAUGUGGCUGACAUCAGCCUUGCAUCACUCUCCCUUAGACGCUUGGGCCUUGGACUUGCGCCUGAGCUCUCCCACCUCAACCUAAUUGCUCGAAUGAGCUAACGCCACUUUGACAUGGGAUUGAAUUGCAAAUGGAGCCAGUACACAUGACAAAAGAGUACGUUGAAAGUGCUCUUAGAUCAUCUCUAAAUUUUUAUAAAUUGGAAUAGGAUUUUCUCCCUUCUAUUUUUCUCUCCCCUUCCCUCCACUCCUAUUUGAACGGUUACGGUUAAGUUAUGUCAAUAUUUUAUAUUAAUUUUUUUAUAAAAAGAGAAAGACAAAAUAAAGAAUGUGAAAGGAAUGGAUAGAAUAGAAAGAAGAAGAGAGAGAAUUCUACUCCUUAUAAAUUACGAGGAAUAGGUUUGAUUCCACUGGUCCCAAUCAGGUUGACUUCGUUGGCAGGAAGUUGUUAGCCAGUCAUGUCGCAUGAUACUUCCAAAAGAAACUCACAUGCAUAGCUUGGUACUUUCCUUCGGCCUUCAUCUCAAAUGGAGGACAUGGUCCCCUUCAGAUUCAUUGGUCCUAAUCUACUAAAUUUCAUGAUCUGAAUCAUUAAAAGUUAAUUCAACGGCUAUAAAAAUAGGUUUAUUUUAAAAGUUAUAAUAACUUUAACCAUUUGAUCAAAUUUCAAUAGUCCAGAUCACGAGAUUUGAUGGAUUAGGACUAGCGAAUCCGAAGGAGAUGCAUGUCUUCCAUUUGAGAUGAAGGCCGAAGGCAAGUACCAAGCUAUGCAUGUGAGUUUCUAUUGGAAGUAUCAUGCAACUUGACUGACCUGUAGAUCAUAUGGUACAAGAAAAUAGUAGUCACUCACAGUUUAGUUCUAAUCUCACCAACCCUGACGUAGCUGCUCAUGAACCUGCAAAACUCACUCUCUGUCUCUCUCACAACACCGUCUCCUCCAUCUUUCCUUCUCCCAAUUGAUUUAUUUUUUUUUUUGUUAAAUAUUUUUUAUUUAAUUGUGUGAUUAGUUAAUUUUGAUUGUUGUAGGUUGUGAUUGGAUUGGAAGAAAAUACUACCUAUUUGGCAGAAGCAAAAAAAAAUUGGAUACCACAACUCAAAAAUGGCAACAAAAAAAAUAUUAUUAGGUAAUGAGAAAAAAAUUUCAACCUAUAGGUGGACAGCAGCUGGUCUAAGAUUAACAAAGUUGUAACAUUCACCUAAUAAACAUGAGAGAGUAAAAUAGACAUAAAAAGAAAUUAAAAACUGUGCCAUAAUAAAUAUAGCGCUAACAAUGGGAAAUUUGCAAUAUAGUCAAAAAAGUUUAUCCGGAAGAUGCAAACAAAAUUUGAUUUUCUAUAAAUUCCUUCUCGCUUAAAAAAAAAAAAGUCUAUAUGAACAUAAUUUUUUACCAAUCUAAGUUCAAAUAAUUGAGACCCUCCCAUAUAAUUAUCAGCGGCAACAAUUAAUUGAAUUAAUUAAGAGUUUGUGCAGGCCUCUACGUUGACCAUUUUGGACGGGGACAUUAUGUCUACUAAUUAAUAAAAUAUUCAUUGUGAACCAAAAUUUUAUGAAAUUAUCAGUUUAACCCUUUAAUUAAAAUAGAACAUGAAUCAGAAAUAUGGGUAGAAAUAUAAUUUCAUAUAACCAAAUUCUGUUUGUUUUUUUCAAAGGCUCACAUACAUAUAAUCAUAACAUAUUUCUAAUUAAAAAAAUAAAAAAAUAAAAGAAAAACUUCCCACUUCCACAUUCUCUAUCACUCUCCUUCUAUUUAAAAAACAAAAAUAAAAAAUUUUCUCACACACUUUGUAUGUGCCCAUAUGCUAGUUGAAUUAAAUAGAAGAAUCACAUUAUUUCGUCAUUUUUUUUGACAAAUUUAUCAAUUCAAAAGUUGAUUCUGUGUGAAACCUCUUGCUACCCCCCUGUUCUUCUACAUAUUAUGUCUACUGUUUCGACACUUUGAAAUUAAAACAUCGGAUUUUCCUAACAGCUUAAUACACUUGUUUUUUAAUGACAGUUUAAGUCAGUCUCAUAGUUGCCUUCCUAAACAAAACCUCCAUAGAAUGUCCUCAUUUUUUCUUCACCAUUAACCGUAAAAUUUUCGUAUGCAUCAAUACUACAUGGUUGAUCGGCUAUAAGGUUAUAUAGGUUGAUUAGUUCAUAAUCUCAUUAUUUUGUUAAUUCUUUUUUGAGUUAAUUUCAGUUUAUUACUUUAAAGUUUUUUUAUUUUCAACAUUUAGUAUAUGAAGUUUUUAUCAUCUCAAAGUGGUAUCCGAAAUUAUAAUAUUGGGAUAGUCUCAUACAUCCGUUAACGUUACUGUUAAGUGAACCGUUAAGUGUGAUGUGAUGCUUAUGUGAAUAAUGACCGAGUUCCAUGUGUUAAUAUAAUCAACAUAAAUAUUUAAAAAAUUAAGAAAAUAAAAAAUAAAAAAUAAAACAAAAUUUCUUGUUUUACCCUUCGAUCUCCACCAUCAGGACCUCAGCAUGGAUUUUGGACAGGAUGAGCUUUACGAUGGCUAGGUCGCAAGAGCCUUCUUCGGCGCGACGAUGUUGGCGGGGAAUGAGCCGAAAACGGUGGCUGGGGUGGGAGGUGAUGGAGAUGAUGGACCAUGAAGCGCCUCUCAGAUCUAAAACCGCUCAGCAGCAGAGGCUUGCUGCUGCUUCUCAGCUCAUGGCAGCGUCAGUGAAUUCCUUCCCUUACUCCUCCAAGUGCAUGAACUUCGUACUUCAGCAGCAACAAACUGAUUCGCAAAGGUACAUGAUUUACUGAAGUUCUUAUUUUUUUGGAAAUUAAUUAAAGCUCUUAUCUUUAAUCAUUUGUGUUGAAUAAUUAUUAAGUUGAACAUUUUUGUUCUCUGUAUUUGUAGGGCAGCGGCAGCUGCCUUGAUGAUGGGUGAUGAUAUGCACAAGUUCAGCCGAUCCCGCCUCGAAAGAUCCGAUUUUUCGAUGGAGGGGAAGGGGGAGCGGGAGGAGAAGGGGAAGGGUUUGGCUCGGAAAAAUGGGGAAAAUUGGAACUGGAAAAUGGGUACUUUGAGGGUGUUGGGUUCGAAGGAGGGGAAGGUAGGGAUGGAGAUGGUGGUUGAAUUGUCGGCGGCGAAGAAGAUUCCUGCGGCAGAAAUGGCCGAUCUGGGCGAAGAAGAAGAUGACGACGUGGGUUGAUUCGAAUUGGGAAAGUGGGUUUUGGUCUGAAUGUUGAAAACAGGGGUGAAGUAGGUAAUGAGGGAGAAGAUGUCGAGCAGCUUAAGCCACUGGUGCAUCUGCUCGGUUCCUUCGCGGAUGGAGUUGUAGACAUCUAGGGCUUUGACGCUGCGCCCGAAGUAGUCGGAGAUGUAGCGGUCAACGGUGGGUUUGGAGAUGUGGGUUUUGGUGGAGGAGAGGAUGAGAGUUUUAACCUCCUGGUGUAUGAGGAGGAAGGAGUCGAGGAGGUCGUGGGACGAGGAGAGGUGGAGGAAGCAAUCGGCCAUGGCUUUGGAAAGAAGAAAAUCUGUUUUAAUUUUUAAUUUUUUUAGUUUUUUAAUUUUAUUAAUAUUUUUAAUUUUUAAUCUUCAUGUCGCCCAUAUUAACGGUCAUUAUCUACGUGAGCUCCACAUCACCAUUUAACAGCAAUUUUAACAAAUGUAUGAAAUUAUUCUAAAAUUACAAGUAUUACUCUGAGAUGAAAAAAUUUCUUGUAUUAAAUAUUAAAAACUAAAAACUUUUAGGACAGUAAACUGAAAUUAACCAUUAUUGUUUUGUUAAACCUAAUUCUUUCCCUUGAAGUCAACAAGUCAACAAUCCCAAAUCCUCCAAGUCCAUCUCGAUUAUGGAGCCGUAUCAACCACACCAAAGACCUUUAGAAUCCUAUAUAAAGUGCUACCAGCUUCAAACCUUCUCUCUCUCAUACCUCUCUCGAUUUUCCUUCAUUCACUUACGACUGCUUUUGAUUGAAGUAAGAUCCUCCACUCAUCUGUUUUGUGCUUUUAAACUUUCGUCCAACUAUUUUUUUUUUGUUAUAUGAAGUAGCGUUUCGAACCCUGAAUUUGCCGUCUACUUUUUCUUGCGUUUCGUAGUACGUGGUUUUUCUGCGAUGAGCAAACUUCGACAGCAUGGUCCUUUUGCAUUCUUUUGCCUCCUCUUCAUACUCCCCACCUUAGUUUUCGGAGACUGCACCUGUGAAAAAGAAGAAGAAGAUGGGGACCGGAACAGAACCGAAGCUCUAAAGUACAAAAUCGGGGCGAUUGCAUCCAUCCUAAUCGCCGGUGCACUCGGUGUUGGUAUUCCAAUUCUUGGGAAGACCAUUCCGGCUUUACAUCCCGAUAGGAACAUAUUCUUCAUCAUCAAGGCCUUUGCAGCCGGGGUCAUAUUGGCUACUGGGUUCAUCCACGUCCUCCCGGAUGCUUUUGAGAACUUGACGGACCCGGUUCUUAAGGAGAACCCAUGGGGGAAAUUUCCCUUCACUGGGUUUGUGGCCAUGAUGGCUGCCAUUGGGACUUUGAUGGUGGAUUCUUAUGCCACUUCUUAUUACAGCAAUUCUCACUUCGAGAACAAUAUUAAUCGAGACGAAGAGAAGGCUCAAGAGCAUGGGGGUCACGUGCAUGUUCAUACUCAUUCAACUCACGGCCAUGCGCAUGGAGCAGUUGACACUUCGCCCUCAACAGAACUUCUUAGGCACAGAGUGAUUUCACAGGUAAUUUUCUUUUUGAAUAGUUUUCUUUUUUGUGAUUAGUGGUGAAUUAAAUCGUUAAUUAUCUUUUAUUUUUGUGGCAGGUUUUGGAGUUGGGGAUUAUUGUGCAUUCUGUGAUUAUAGGAAUUUCGUUAGGUGCUUCUGAAAGUCCAAAAACAAUAAAGCCUCUUGUAGCUGCGUUGUCUUUCCAUCAAUUUUUUGAAGGCAUGGGACUCGGUGGAUGCAUAACUCAGGUAAUUUUUUGCCUCUAAUUAUUGAUGUCAAUACGAUGGUAGCCAAGUUGUUUAGAGCAAAAAAACACUGGAUGUUGAUCGGAUAUUAUUUUUCUAAUGUUCUUUGUAGGCGAUGUUCGAGAAUCGAGCUGUUGCAAUCAUGUCAUUGUUCUUCUCUCUUACAACUCCUGUUGGGAUUGGCAUCGGAAUUGGAAUAUCAAAUGUUUAUGACGAAAGCAGCCCGACUGCACUCAUCGUGGAAGGCGUUUUCAACGCGGCAUCAGCCGGUAUUUUAAUCUACAUGGCCCUUGUUGAUCUGCUAGCAGCUGAUUUCAUGAACCAAAAAAUGCAGAGCGACGGAAGGCUUCAAGCAGGGGCAAACAUAUCUCUUCUUGUUGGAGCUGGUUGCAUGUCUUUGUUGGCCAAAUGGGCUUAAUUAAACACCUUAGUCAAUCAAAAGAUAUUGUCUAUAAUUUUUGUUUACUUUCAUAAAGUUUUUUUUGUUAUGCAGUCAACUUUUAAUCUGAACCGUUAAUCUAGUGGAUCCCUCGACUACGCAUAUAUGGAUCAAUGUUAUCGUCCACUUAUCUUUUUGUUUCUACCUUGAAAUUAUGAUAGACUGAAAAUUCAAAGCAAGCUCCUUUUACUAUGAAAAAAAUUGGUCCCCUUAUUUUACAAAGUGAAGGAAAAGUCAGCAGAAAUCUAGGAGCGAUUAUCCACCAUAUUUUUUUCUAUGUUGAAAUUAUGAUUGGCGUAAAAUGCAAAGCAAGUUCCAUUUAUUAUGAAAAAAAAUUGGAAAUGGUUACUCUCCGGAUCCCUUUCCACUUUAAUCCUCAUAAUCCAGGAUCCGAACUGUUCAAAUUUCAUUUAACGGCUACAAAUAAAGGGACAUUUAUAAAGUGAUAAUAAUUGUGGCCGUUGAAUGAAAUUUGAACGGUCCGGAUCCCGGAUUAGGUGGAAAAGGAUCUGGAGAGGAUCCCUUUCCAAAAAAAAAUUGGUCCCCUUAUUUGGAAAAGAAUCCUUACCAGAUCCUUUUCCUAGAGAUCCAACAAUCGUGUUCGUUUAUCGUACAUCGUGCGGUCAGUUUUUGUUAAAUACUAUUUACAUUUAAUUUUAUGUUUUAAAUUUUAAAUAAUUUAUGACCACACGAUGUACGAUGAACAGACACGAUUACGAGAUUUCUAGGUCUCUAAAAAAAGGAUCCGGUGAGGAUCCUUUCCCCCCUUAUUUUGGAUCCAUUUCUCCCUUAUUUUCCAAAGUGAAGGAAAAGCUAGUAGAAAUCUAGGAGCGAUUGAAAAUCUACGAAGGAAAAUCCAACUAGUAAAAAACAAAAACUUUAAUAAAAUAUUAUAAAUUCUCGAAGAGGAAAUGACAUGCGAAUGUGAGUGACAUGGUCAUUUUUGGCGGAACUCGUAUUUCCACUUUCAAAACUCCAAACGUACGAAAUUGGUGUUGACUCAUAAAACACCUUUGUAGAUGUAAAUUUUUACCGUCUUAUUUUUUGAGGAAAAUACAUCUGUAAAAUAAUAACAUCUAAAAUUAAGUUCAAAAGCCUAACGUGCCCACAAUGAAUGGGAGGAUUUUGGCGGAGGAAUUUCUGAUGCCAAAAUUAGAAUUCUGAAAAUAAUGUGUUUAGGAGUUUAUGGUAGCAAAUGACUUAGCUUUUUAAUAGGAGAAUAUGGCUAUUUAUAAGGGAGUGGUAGGCCCUAUUUAAAGAAUAGGGGCCGGCCAUAUAUUGUAAAAUUGUGAGUAUAAUUGCAAUAUAUUAUAUGAAAUAGUAUCUUGCAAUUAACUUCGCAAUUAAUCCUAAAUUGAAUAGGAAAAUUGAGUUAUGUUUUAAAUAAGGAUUUGAUGAGGAGUGAUGAGAGAGAUUUAAAUAAAUACCAUUUUGAUCACAUUUGACUCUUCAUUGAUUGAGUCGUUAUUGUCCAGUGCAUGCACGUGGGAAUCUCGAUGUGCCUCAAGGGUAAUUUUGUAAUUUUAGCCCAAAAGUCCAUGAAUCACCUCUAUAAUUUUCUUGAUUAUUUUUUGCUCCACAAAUGCCCCCACACCUAUUGGGUUGGUCGUAGGAAAGGGCAGCAUGUGUAGAGAUUUUCCCUUACUUUAGGAAAUGUAUGAUCGUUUCCUACUUCGAUGUAGAUUCCCACAUUAAUUGGAAAUUAGAUCCUUUUAGGAAAUGGAAAUAAAUUACUUCCAAAGUCUAUUUAAGUCUACCUUAGGUAGAUGAUUAAAUUAACUUUAGAGAGCAAUUUAUUCUAUCCUAUAAGAGAGAGAAAGCUAGAUGAUAUUUGUUCCCCCUUCCCUAGCAAUCUUCUACAUUUACUUAUGCAAAGGAUCGUCUUUUGUUGCUUUCUUCGUAAAUUAAUUUUUCCUUGUCUUCGUAAUUUUUUUGGAGCCUCGAUGCUUGAAAUUUGGCUCGACAGGGGUCGAGGAUGUGUGAAAAGAUGGAUUGGAAAGGCCACGACAAUGUUGCAGUGGGUGGCUUGGUGCGACGGUGGCUCAGCGUGGGUCGACGUCUGGGUGCAGCGGCGUGGGUUGCGGAGGCGAGCUGGGACUUGGCUUGGGUCAGGAGCUUCUAGGAUUGGGUCAAGAUUAUGAGGCACUGGGCUUAGGCCCUUGCGGGAGAGAUGAGAGAGAGGGAGGCGUGGGAGCGCCAACCCCCUCCUUUUGGAUUGGGUCGUGAGGCAUUUGGUUCGAGAGAAUGGCAGCACCUAGCGUGCUAGGUUGCCUGGUGUGCUGGGCCUCCUAGUAUGCUAGGUUGCAUGGCGUGCUGGGUUGAUAGGGAUAGCUGAGAGCUAAUACGGGCUGGGCUUCCUUGGCUGCUGUCUUUAGGUCACGGGGCCUGAUGUUUUUUUUUAAAAGUUUUUGCAACCAUCUAAUGAUUCUUCCUUGUAUCUUUGUAGAAUUUCUUCGAGUAUGUCUUCUUCAAGCCACAAGAGUGAUGAUGGUGUGCCGCUGUUGUAUUGCCAAGGCGGGUCUUUGAGUAAAGUGGGCUACCUCAAGGCUACAUACUUCAAAAUUAGCUUUGAUGACUCGUUCAGAGAUUUCCUUGAAGGAUAUAGGCACGCUAUUCCGUUUGGGCUGCGUGUGAAGCGGGUCAAGGAGGGUAGCAGUCGUGAGCCAUGCAGUAGGCUCGGAGGGCCAUCAAGUUUCACCUUUACUACUUCGUGUUGGGAUUUAAUUUUCCUAUGCCGCAUUUCUUCCAAGAAGUGCUUUGCUUUAUGAAGUGUACACCUCUCUCAAUGUUGUCCAAAUGCGGUCCGUGUGAUGGUAGGGUUCCUCAAUCUAAGCCAAUUAUUUGACUUGGAUCUAAUUGUUAACAAAUUUUGGUACUUCUUUAACAUAAGCCAUAUUGAUGGAGUUAGGCAGCUGCGAUCCCGCCAGUGGCUCUUCGAUCAUUUGAGCAAGGGACAUCAUGAUUGGGCCAAGACAACUUUGGAGAUAAGUGGAUAAUGAGAGUCUGAUUCUUCCCUUAAUUUGCGCAUUCCGAUGAUUUUCAUCACUAUUAAGUAGACUGCUUAGUCUCUACGCUGCUUUGUGGUUUUGCUGAGCGGUUAUCUGAUUUGUUGGUUGUCCUCCUCUGUUUACGUAGAUUCGGAAUUGGGCUCAACUACCAAGACUUUUCCAGAUCUGAAGAGGAAGGUUCAUGUUGCUUAGGUAUCCCCCCCACUGAGUACUAUGAAUAGUUUGGCUGCUUAGUUUUAUUCUCUAGGAGAAAUGUGGGCUUUCCCCAAGAAAGGAGAUAAAGCGGAUUAAGACGGAGACGUUGACUCGUCCGAUCACUGUUGUGGAGCCUGCUGUGAAUGAAGGUGGAAAGAAAAGAUCUUCCCCACCUACUUAAGAGAUGUCAAUUGAGAAAAAACCGAAGAGUUCAUUUGCUACUCCUAAGGGUUAACCUGCUGUCGAUAGGCUUGUGAUUGACUUGACUUCUUCCAAGGGGAAGAAAGAAAAGGCUGCUAGAUCAGAGUUGGUGAUGCUUGCCAUGCCAAAGGUAGCUAGUACAAUUGUUGAUAGGAUUGCUCAGCGUAGAGGUUUUGUCAUCCCCUAGUGCUGAAAUUCGUGCCAAGACGUUCGUUAAGAGCUAGGUUUGGUUCACAUUUGGAAAGGCUUGCUACAAUGAAGAGUAAUAAGAUGGACUCUGCUGCUAAAAUGGCACCAAGGCAAACUCUCCUUGUGGCUGACACUGGUUUUCUUACUGAGAAUGAGAAGAUUACUCAUGUGGGUAGUUGUGAGAAAUCCACCAAGCCUGUUUCUGGAGAGGCUGUUGAGAUCUAUACACUUUUGAAGCCAAAUUUGCUCGAAGACAUGGACACGUGUGCCAAACUUAUUGAUGACGUUAGAGGGGUUGUUUGCCCAAGUUUUUUUGCGAAGCAUACAACCCAGUAUAGAAUGACUGCUAUGUUAGCUAUGAUAUAAAAACGACGAUUCUGGCAGCUGAGUCUAUGCUCAUUGAUCAAGAGGAUAGCAAGGCUGCCAAGAAGGUGACAAAGACUAUGAUAGAUGAAGCUUAUUCUUAUGCCGAGAAAAUCAAGAGGUUGGAGUCUGAGCUCGUCGUUUUGAAUGAAUCCAAUAUCUCUACCCCCACUUCUCUACAACUUGAGUCUGCUCGCCAAAAGAUCGUUGCCUUGAAGACUAGGCUUGACGCGAUCCAAGUUAAGUAUGAAAGUGCAGAGAAAGAGAUUGGAUGUUACAUACAUUAUAUUUAAGAUUUUGAGCGUGCCAUUUUUGAGCUUCGGUUUACUGCUUACGCAAAGGAUAAAGAAUUGAUUGAUGCUUAUAAUCAAGUAAUCUAAUUCAAAAAGGUCAUCGAUAGGCUUACACCUCAAGUGUUAGAACUCUAAGGUGUACUAAAGAUCAACAAAAAUCUGAAGAAGGAAGUGGAUGAGCUACAACGCAUUCGUGUGGGUCUACUCGAGGAGAACAAGUAGCUGAAGAGUGGGAAAGCUGGGCUCAAGGCCUCGCUUGUUCAGAGUCAGGCCGAUUUUUAUAAGCUGGUUUAUGUUGAUCAUCUAUUUGGUAGGCCGUCUGACUUUGAGUUUGUUGGGAAAGACUUCGAGACCUUAUCUAUUUCUCUAGAAUACUUGCUUGCCUUUACUUUUGAGGGUUCCAUUGGUGAAGUAGUCAGAAAAGUUGGUGCCCAGGUUAGGGUAGUCGGGGGUGAAGCGCUGAAUGAUGUCGUUGUUGAGAGUGUCAUGGCUGCUGAAGGUGUGGCAGUCGAGUAGCCGUGGGAUGUCCAAGCUACUGAAGGGUAGUAUUCUAGGUAGCCUUUAGGAUUUUCUUUAUUUUCCUUGUUGCCUUUUUGCUUUGCUUUGCUUGAACUCCUUCCACCUUUGCUAUUUGUUUAUCAAUUUUUCUAGAAAAUUUAAUAAACUUGCUUUCUUCGCUUUUCUUCAUCUUCGUUUCUUUUGUUUACGCCCAACCUUUGACCUUUAGACCAGCAGUAUGCGUGUUGCUUUUCUAUAAGCAAACAAGCCCGCAUAGCCUAUGCAGUCGUAGGUGUUGGUGUAGAACUUUUGCAAAGUUGUUAGCCAUAGGGUUGGUAGCAAGAUGCUUUACUUAUAGAAGCAGACGAGUCCUCGUGACCAUUUGGCUGUUAACCUUGGCUUUCUUCAAUCUUUUGAGCUGUGUGGCCCAUAUCACAACAUACUAAAGUUUUUUGGGUCAUAGAAUUCACUAACCUUUCGUAUCACAUGUAAGCGAUUGUAUAAAAUUUCGUAAGCAAAGGUCUGAGAGAACUUCAUACUCUUUAUAUAACCAAUUCUGUGGGUUGCGUAUCAAGUAUCACAACACUUUAGGAAUUAUUGUAGAUCUAAAAGAUCAUUCCGCGCUUGGUAGAGGUGAAGCUUAUCGAUUGCGUAGCAUGUCGGUAAUGGAUAGAGCUUUGUAUAUGCACGCUAACUAUUUAACCUUUCACAAAAAUGUGUGGCUGUAUAAGUUUAAAGCGACUUACUGCUCGAAAGGCAAGCUGUAGGCAAUCUUUCAGAAAUUAUAGGCUACCUUAGUGUAUUCUGUAGCAAUUUUAGGGUUUUAGGACAGUCGUCCAUAGGGCAUGCUGCAUAAUGUGCCUCUUCCAUCUCUAAGGCCCUGUUCCCCACAGAUUAGGCCAAGAGACCCAAAAUUCUUUAGUUACCUAAGCCUUGAAAAAAACCAUUAUAGCUACUUUUAGGAAUCCCGGCACAAGUCAUCAUGCACCUAGUUAGACUAGGGAGGCCCAAUUCAUCCACGUCUGGAUAUUCAGAGUGUAUGGUUUAUCCUCCCGCAUUUGAGAGCAAACCUAUGUAGGUGUUGAAGAAUUGGUUUACCCUUUUUACACUUGAGAGCAUGGUUAAUCCCAAAUGGUGCAAUUCCAGCGAUAAGUCCCUGAGAAGGGCGUGGACUUCUUUUGAAGUUCAAGAGUGAUUAUUUGUUGUAAGCAUGUGGCUGAGCUAAGUUGGAAGUUACUUUUGAAUUCCUCAUUGAAAAACGAGUGAAACGAACGAAAACUUAGAUGUAAGGUAGGAACUGCAUAACAACUGGAUAAUCAUUGUCUUGCGAGGUGGUACCUGUCGAGCUGCUUGAGCCUUCAGGUUUUGAUAUAACGAGAGAUCACGUAUGGUACUUCCUCAGAUUAUAGGCACUGCUUUUUGAUCUCUUUGUCGUUUAUGGUGACGAGGGUGUAACUACCCUUACCGCCUACACUGCUAAUCUUGUAUGGACCUUCCCAGAUAUGAUCCAUCUUUUUGGAACCUUCUUUGUGGGCAGUGAUGAAGACUUUUAUUAGGACUAUAUUUUCGGGUUGGAACUGCCGGAUCUUGACCCUUUUGUUAUAGCUGGAGAGAAGUUGAUGUUGGUAGGCUGCAAUGCGGGUGAUGACCUUCUCAUUUUUCUCCUCUGCCAGAUCUAAGUUUAUGGCUAUCUCUUUUCUGUUUUGCUCGAUGCUUGGCAGUAGAGUGCUGAUAGUUGGUAUGAUGACAUUGGGAGGAAUGAUUGCUUCUUAGCCAAAUGCCAAAAAGAAAUAAGUCUUACCGGCUGCUCAUCGUUUGGUUGUGCGAUAUGCCCAUAGACAUCCAGGAAGUUAGUUUGGCCAUUUUCCCUUCUUAUCGGAGAGGGAUUUCUAGAGGCAGUGGAUAAUUAUCUUGUUAAAUGCCUCAGCUUGCCCAUUUCCUUUGGGAUACAUUGGUGUGUACAUGUGUUGCUUGAUGCCUUAUUUCUUAAAUAACUUCGCCAAAUCUUUGCCUACAAAUUGUGGGCCAUUGUCUGUGAUGAUGGAUUGAGGGAUGCUAAAUCGAAAAAUGUUGUUUCUCCAUAUGAAGCGCUCUAUGUCCGUCUGAGUUGUGGUUAUCAUAGGUUCUGCUUUCACCCAUUUAGUGAAGUAGUCAGCUGCCACUAUCAUCAUGCCUAUGUCUUCAGUAGCAGGCAUCAUUGGCCUUACCAAGUCAAUUGCCCACUGCAUGAAUGGCCAAUGACUUGUCUGUGGGUAUAGUUUGCUGACAGUUAGUGUUGGUACCAGCUUGUAACAUUGGCAGCGGUUACACUUUUGUACUAACUCCUUAGUGUCUUGAUGCAUAGUAGGUCAGAAGUAGCCUAUGUUAAGAGCCUUCUGUGCUAAGGAUCGGCCGCCGGAGUGAUUUCCAUAAACGCCUUCGUGGACUGAAUUUAGAACCUUUAGGUUAUCGGGAUGUGCUAAGUAGCGGAUAUGUGGUUCAGUGUAUGAUCUUUAGGCUAGAAUGUCGUUCCACAUGUAGUAGCAUGCUGCCUUUGUUUAGAGAUUUCUAGACUCCAAUCUUUCCAUGGGAAGUAUGCCAUUGACUAGGUAGUCUAUAAUGGAAUCUUGCCAGUGUGGAGUUAUACUAACUCGUGACACCUCAGCUGUUGGCUCGACCUCUAUGCUUGGCUUGUCUAGAUAUUCUACCGAAAUAUAGCGUUUGAGUUGAUGGUCGAGGGUAGAGCUUAGGCCAACUGGCACAUCCACGUGGGCAUUAUCUGCCCGUGGAACUUGAGUGAGGGUGUAAGUCUGAAAUGCCUCAAGUUAUUUUCGUACCUUCUCUAGGUAUUGCGCCAUCUUCAGAUGUUUCGCAUUGUACUCCCCAGUAAUCUGGCUGAUGAUUAGCUGGGAAUCAGAAUGAAUUGCAAACUUUUUCACCGCCAAGUCUUUUGCCAUUCGGAGGCCUCCUAAUAGGGCUUCGCUUUAAAGCCUAGAGUGAUUGCUUGCUCGAGCAUUAAACUGCUUGCUCGAGCAUUAAACCGCUUGGGGUGACAAAGACCACGCCUGCCCUCAAGCCCUUGUAGUUGGAUGCAUCAUCGACAUGCAAAUGCCAGAAGUCUCCAUCGGGUGAAGCCGGCGUGGCUAGGGUGUGCUUGGUUACCUUUGGGGUGUCGUUGGGUUGCUAUGUUGCCUUGCCUAAGCUAUGCAUGAAUUGUGCUAUGAAGUCCACCAAGGUUUGGGCCUUUAUUACCGUGCGGGGUCAAAAAAUUAAGUUGUAUUGGCCAAGUUCCAACACUCACUUCGUUACUCGUUGAGAAUCAUAUGGACCAUGUAGGAUUGAUCGUAUAGGAUAUUGAGUAAUGACGAUGACUGUAUAAGCUUGAAAAUAUGUUUUGAGCUUUUGAGCCGCAACAACUAGUGUAAAAAUUAAUUUCUCGAUCUUCGGAUAUCUAGUUUCCACAUCGAGAAGAGCUUUAGAAGUGUAGAAUACCGACAUCAGUAGUUAGGCCUUCAACUUUUCUCGUAUGAGGGUAGAACUUAUUGCUACUUCCGAGACUGCCAAGUAGACGUAUAAGUCAUUCACUACUUCCGGCUUGAAUAGUAACAGAGGUGAUAUGAGAUACUUCUUUAGGUCUUGGAAAACUCUUCUGCACUCAUCAUCCCAUUUUUCUCGUUAUGCCGUUUUGAUUGCUUUGAAAAAAGGCUUGCAUCGAUCUGUGGACCACGAAAGGAAGCGGUUGAGUGCGACUGCUUGUUAGAUCAAGCUUUAGAUCUCUUUCAAGGUAGUUAGAGACUUCAUCUCUAGGAUUGCUUGGAUAUGCUUAGGGUGUGCUUCGAUUCUUUGUUGGGUUACUAGGCACCCUAAGAAUCCGCCUGAAGAUACUCCGAAUGUGUAUUUGGUAGGGUUGACCUUUAUCUUGUACUUUCUAAGGAUGUCGAAUUUUUUUACCAAGUUAUCGAUAUGGUCUGAUCGCUGUUUUCCCUUCACCAUGAUGUCGUCGACGUAGACCUUAAUGGUUACUCUAAUUUUCUUUUUAAAGAUCAUGUUUACCAGUCGUUGGUAAGUGGCUCCGAUGUUCUUAAGGCCAAAAGGCAUGACCUUGUAGCAGUAGGUGCCUCGCUCAAUCAGGAACGCGAUUUUCUCUUUGUCGGGCUCGUGCAUGGUUAUUUAAUUGUAGUCAGAGUAUGCCUCCAAGAAACUGAGCAGAUGAUUCCCGAAAGGUGAAUCUACUAGUAGAUCGAUUCGGGGAACUGGAUAAAGGUCAUUCGAGCAUGCUUUGUUGAGGUCGGUGUAGCAUGCAUAAACUCUCCAUUUGCCCUUCCUUUUUUUCAUUACUAGCACGACGUUGCCAAGCUAUGCUGAGUAUGCUAACUCUUCUAUGAAUCCAACCUCCAAUAGCUUGUCUGUUUCCUCUUCGAUGAUCACCACUCGUUCAGGUGUGAAAUGUCUUCUCUUUUAGAUCACCAAUUCGGGGUUGACGUGCAACUUUCAUGGCAAGCUAUCUUGGGGUCGAUGUUGGGUAUGUCGAAAGGUGACCAUGCGAAGACAUCAUAAUUUUCCCUAAGGAAAGUUAUGAGUUCCUUAUUUUCUUUUAGCCUUAGACAGGUCGCUUUCUAUCGUGAGCAUUUUCUUUGAGACAACAGGCAAUGUUUUCACAUGUCAAGUGUAAUGUUGCCGAUGAUAGUUGAGGUGUGUUCGUUGAAUAUGGUGAGUACCUUCGCUAGGCAUAUAACUAUACUUUCUAGGCCCAUCUUCUGAAUUACAAAGAGCUGAAGUAGGUUAAUAGCACUUCCGUUGUCAACUAUCAUUCUGUAAACUAUAUCGUGGGUAAUUUGGACAGAUACCACUAGUGUGUCGUUGUGUGGGACGUCGAUGCCUUUGGCAUUCUGCUCUGUGAAGCUAAUGAUGAGUCUAGGUUAGGUGCUAACUGCCUAGACCUAUGAGACUAAUAAAGCUUGUUGAAUCUUCAUUUUCUUAGAGUUAUUGGUGGCCCUCAAGUGCUCUGAUUUGGCGAAGAUGCCAUUGAUAUGAAUCAUCUUGGUUGGCUGCUCUUCAUCGACGUCUGCGUUCUUUUUAAGCUACGCAACUGCCUUGUCCAAGUAUUUGUCGACCUUGCCUCUUUCACCAGAUUCUUUAGGUAUUUCCUCCAAGUGUAGGAGUCAUCGGUUGUGUGACCGGGACCUUGAUCGAAUGCGCAGUAGUUAGCAUGGUCUAACUUGGAGCUAUCUCUCUUUGAUUGCUUCGGCAGAUUGAACCAUGCUUCGCUUUUGAUGUUGCGGAGGAUUUGGUGGAUCGAGAUUGAGAACUUCGAGUAGUUCUUGGGUGUCUGGCCUCCUUUAGUCGGGGAUUAGUCUCUGCGCUUGGCCUCUUGCUUGCUUUUAUUGUUGUACUGCUUCACGUCCUCUUUCUUUUGAGCUAUUACUGAUUCUUUUCGAGGCUUCUUGGGUGCCUUGUCUGCUUGCUGAGACUUGUCCCAAUGUACAUGCUUCUCUACCAUAGCAAAAGAAUAUGCCAGAGUUAGAUCUUUUUUCAUGAUCAACUCUCUGAAUAGUGGGUGGUUUGCUAGGAGUCUUUUUGGGAAAAUUGCACUAGCUAUCAAGUCGUCACAUUAGACUAUCUUUGCCUUUUCUGCUUUGAACCUCUUUACAUAGUUGUGAAGUGACUCUUUUGGGUUUUUCCCGAUGUUGAAUAAAUGGUCGGACUUCUUCUUGAUUGAGUGGUAGGAUGAAUACUUCUUAGUAAAAACCAAAGAAAGCUCAUCAAAACUCCGGAUGGAUUGUGGUGGCAGGGUGUGGAAUCAAUCUUGCGCCUUACCUUUUAAAGUGGUGGUGAUUGUCUUGCACAUGAGAGCGUCGUUGUUGAGAUAGAAGAUCAUUGUGCUUCGGUAGUGCUUCAGGUGUCUCUUCGGGUCUCCAUCCUCUUUAAAGAAUGUGAAAUGUGGCAUGCUGAAUUUGCCUGGAGGCUCUAUCUACUCAAUCUCGUUUGUGAAGGGUGACCUGCUUAUGUUGGUCAUGUUCCAUCGUAAUGCCUCAUCAGUGACCUCAUUGUGUUGGAAAUUAUGCAAUUGCUAGGUCAUGAGCCUCUCUACUUCUUCCUCCUGAAUUUGCCUUUGUUCGAGUAACGGAGCUCUUGGCUGCCUUAAUCGUGACCUGCUGGUUUAGACUACUCUUCCAUGUGUUCGGCUGAUCUAUGUCGCGGGUGUGGUGCAUGUGGUAUGUUCUUAGUAAGCGAGCGAAUUUUUUGCAAGUUGCCGGUUAAACUUGAGUAGGAUUAAGUGAAAUAAUGCUAGAAAUCCUCACAAAGAGGAUCCUCAUUCGAGUGAAAUAACGCUAGAAAUCUAGAUAAGUGAGAAUUAGAGUCGUGAAUUCUUAUUAAAUUAUUUGAUGAUUGGCAUAAGUCAAAAGAAAAUAAGUUUGUUUCAUCACAACUGUUUACGAUUGUCAAAAAUCAAAACCAAAACAUUUUAAUUGCCAAAAGGCUCUUGGACAAAUUAUCAUUUUUGUUCAACUAGUUCCCUCAAACUUGAAUGUGAAUCACUUAACCCAAAACACAUUUGGGGGGCAAUAGGUGUAAUGGUCAAAGACCUCUGAACCUACUAAUUAUUCAUGCCUCAUACUCGCCCGAAGCGACACAGUACAGAACAUCAAACAAAACUAACUAAUCCAAUAAGGGAACCACCAAUCAAUUCGACUCCACGAAGCGGACUACACUGAUUCUAGAGAUAUUCAUUGCAUCCACAAGAGAAGUGGCCACAGACCUGGCCAAUUUGGGUGGCUGAGGCACGGGUCGGUUGAGUUGAGCAAAUGCCUGGGUCUUGAACGAACACUACCUAUGAUGACUUAUUCAUUUGGAUUUAGAGUGGAGGAGUAUUUUAUUAAAACACAAAUUCAGUGGGAAUUCAUCUUUAUAAAUAAUACUACGUAGAUUGCAUCUUAGUGCACUACUAGAAAAUAGUACCCACGCGUUGCUACGGGAUUACAAAUCGUAUGAAAAAUUCUGUUUUAGAUAUAUAAAAGAUUGUGUUAUAAAAGAUUAAUAUCAUUUAGAAAAAAUUUGGACUAUUUACAUGUAAGAAGUAUUAGGAAAUAUUGUUUCAAUCCAGGUACAAUGAAUUGAAAAUUUAAGCAAUCGUACCUAAUGUCGUGAGAAAAUAUAAAUUUUUCCCUUACCAAACCAGAGAGCUGAAACAUGUGAGUUAGUAUACAUUGAUUGUCACAUGCCUUUAAUGAUUGAAUGAAUACUAAUAGCCUUUUGUAAUGUACUUGCCACUACCUCGUUGAUCAAUUCUUCUUGAUUUUUAACUUUUGAGUUGUGGUAGAUUAGUGACACAUGUAUUUGUUUGGAUCAAAACUUGAACUUUGGGCUCAGGAAAGAGGUUGGCCCAAAAGGAUGCCUAAAGGAAGAGUCGGCCGAAGCCCAGCCAAAACCCAGAAAGCAGAAAAGGGCUUUUCUGACUUGGUGCAGCCCAUGAAGACCACUUGCUCACCUACCCAAAAGCCAAGUGGUAUAGACUGACCAGCUAUACACCCCAUAAAGUACUUUAUAAUGGCAGAACAAGUAAAAUAGCUGAUGAGUCACUGCUUAUCAAGUUGCAUUCGGGCAAGGCUGUUGCUACAAGAGGCCAAGCUGAGUUGUCUAUAAAAGAAGAAAGAGAAAUCAGGAAUAAGGACACUCAAUCAAACAAACAAAUGCAAGCACAAACUCUGCUCAAAGCCAGAUUUGCCUUCAAAACAAAGUUGUAGUCAGCCCAAGCCUUCAUCCCUCUCGGGACAAGCCUUCACUCAAACCUUUGUAAUAGCUCUGCUACCCUGUUCAACCUUGCUGUAGUAUCGAUUUCUCUUUGUAAACCCCUCUCCUUACCUCUCUCUAAAGCUCUCAGACCCUCGAUAAGCCACAAAGAUAGGGACCUGCAAGACGAUCAGGCUUGCCCAACAAGGUUAAACCUUGCCCAACCUUCUUUGUGUUUUGUCUUUUCAUUCAUUAGCCUAGCAAUAUGUGGUAUACUUCCAGUUGUACUCAAGUUAUUUCUAGUAAGAUGACUAUUAAAAUAAUCUGUCAAUACUUGGAUCCGAUUUGAAUAUAUCUUCAUUGUUCAAACCAGAUCUGAGUUCUAAGCCCUCGGGCAUGUAAAUUUUGAUCAGUUGAAAGUCCUUGGCCUCAAGGCAUAAAAAAGAACCUUAUGUGGACUUAACCCAUCCACGAUAGUCCUUGAUAAACAAGAAGUCCGAAGUUACUUGGGGCGCAAGUAAUCGACCUACCCCUUAGUUUUAUUUCUAUUAUAUUAUGAUUAUCAUAGAACGCUUAAGCAUGGAAUGGAUUCUGAUGGGAAGCCUCAAGGCCUACACCUAAGGCCCCCCAAAGGCACCUAUUUGGAUUCAUUCCGUUCCGCGGUCUAGAACGUCUGAGUAUAAAGAACGAAUUCUUAUAGGAAGCCUCAAGGCCUACACCUAAGGCCCCACAAAGGCACCUAUUUGGGUUUGUUCUAUCUCUCGGAUUCGGGUAAUCAGAAGUAUAAUAGUUGUAAGACUCCUGCAAUUAAUGGAACAAAUAUUAUGUGUUCGAGCACCGGUUUAGUUAUUGAUGGGAAGCCUCAAGGUUUACACCUAAGGCCCCACAAAGGCACCUGUUAUAACUAAGACGGUUUCUCGGGCAUAUAUAUAUAUACAACUAAAACUCGACAUCCAUUUUACAUCUGCCAUGCUAAAGAUGGCAGUGGCACGCCUGAGUACUUAGAAGUUAAUCUUGAUUGUGAGCCUCAAGGCCUACACCUAAGGCCCCACAAAGGCACCUCUCAAAGUUAACGCUGUCAUUCUCUUCCAGCCUUGCCCGACGAGUCUUGCCUGAUAAGCCUUGCCCGACUAAGCCCGAUAGUGAAGCAGAAGCCCGACAUCAGCUCUCAACCGACGCCAACCUCCAGGGGAGCUGUGCGCUCGUCAGCCAGGAAACGUCCCCGACGAAAAUUCCUGACGCGAACAUAGUUUUGGCACGUCCAGUGGGAUCAUAUACCUUUUGAUCUUGCUUGUCCAAAAAAAAAAGCCACAAAAUUGGCAAAAAGAAUCCGAAUGAGGGUUUCUCUCAACCUUUUCUUCUACAAAUGGAAAAUCAAUCAGGAAACCCUUCUUCCCCAUCAGGACGAGUGGUUUUAGAAAGCCCAACUUCAUCUGAGAGAUCGGAAGGAAAGGGAACUAGUGAAGAACUACAAGCUACUAUGAUCCAAGUACUAAAAAGCAUGGAAAGAAUCUCCUUGGAAACCAAGGGAGAAGUGAGUAGACUCUGUACAUUAACAGGGAAUCUACAGAGAAGACUUGAUCUAGAGUUUUCUACUCCAAAAGGGGCUCAGGGAAUUGGGAUGAGCCAAGUUACCAUGAGAAGUGAACCAAUUAUUCCCUUAUUCCCACUAUUAGAAGAAGAAAAGGAUAGGGGAAAGAAUAAGGUAGUUCCUGAAGGGAGUCAACCUGUGAUAGAGCCAGUUCUGGAGAAAGAGCUUCCCAGCUUCCCAUUAUUAUCAUUUAAUAAUAGGAGACAGAGCGAGCAAGAGAGAACGAAGUACAGAAUGCAUGUAAUGAUUGGGGAGACUACCGGAAAGGAAGGCACCACCACUUCAGAUAAACCUUCACCUUACAGGCCACCCCCGUUGGUUAAUAAGGGUGGAGGAAGCCCGAACCAAGGAGAGAAGCAGGUGUGGGCAACGACUGGAGCCCAAUGAUCGAAUCUGCUAUCAUCGGUCAUAAUGAUAAUUCAGCUACUCAGCAGCUGAGGGAAGAAUUGGCUGAGCUAAGAAGGACAGUGGCUCAAAAUGCUCAACCGCGGGCUCGCCCAGUGUUCAGGGUCACUUACCAAAAGCCUUAUCCUGAAUAUAUUGACGAGCUAAAUCCAUUCCUUCUCAACUUCAAGAUGCCUGUAUUCCUAACGUUCACAGGUGAAGACAGUAGCGUGUCCUCCAGAGACCACAUUUUCAAAUUCUCCAAUCAUUGUGUGGCGUAUAAGGACAACCCAAAUUACAAAUUGAGGUUGUUUGGGAAUUCAUUGGCAGGUUUAGCAUCUCAGUGGUACUCUCUAUUAACCCCUAACUCUAUUGCCAACUAGGGGCAAAUGGAGAUGGCUUUCCACGAACAAUUUUACAGAAAAGAGCCGGAAUUGACUAUCAAUGACGGUGUUGAAGUCAAACAAUAUGAUCAUGAAUCUACUGAGGACUUCAUGAUGAGGUUCAGGAAAACAAAGAUGAGAUGCCAAUUCCCCAUCAACCAAGCGCAUCUCAUAUCAAUUGCUCAAAGGGCUCUGAAAUUACCUUUGAGGAAGAGAUUUUAUGAUACACAAUUCAACGAGCUGCAAGAAUUGGUAAUUGCUGCCACUAAGUAUGAGAGGCUGUUGCAAGAAGAGCAACAAGUGAAGCACACUUCCAAGGUUCCUCCCUUCUACAAAAACAAAGCUGCAAUUCAUCAUGUGGAAGUAGGAGAAACCAAACCAGAGCAUGAUGGUGGCUAUGAUGGAGAAGGCAUUGACGUGUGUGCUGCUGAAAUGACCACACCUUUCAAACCACUGACGGUAAAAGGGCUAGUCCAACCUGUCAAAGAUUAAAAGAUCGUAAUGAACGAUGGUGGUUUCGUCCCCAUGAAACCACCCAAGUACCAGAGUUAUUCGUUUGAUCUGACCAAGGCACUUGAGAUCUAUGAAGAACUGGUACGGGUAAGAGUAAUUUUGCCCGAUAGUACCAAAAAGAUGCCCAAACCAGAAGAACUUAGAGGGAAGAAGUAUUGUAAGCUACACUAUACCUUCAACCAUUCCAUAGUCAGUUGUGUCCAGUUUAGAGAUUGGAUACAAGACUUGAUAGUGAAGGGAAAACUGUUACUUGACAAGUCCCAAGCCAGUAUGAUGGUGGAUACAAACCCUUUCCCGGAGGCUCCUAUCAAUAUGAUCAACCUCAUUUGAAAAGAAGAGCCAGGGUCACCAGUUGGUACAGCAAAGGAAAGAAAAGAUCCCGGGUUGUCCCAACGCCCCUGCAUGAAUAAAAGUACCAUGAAGGGGACCAAGGAAUCAAGAUCAGGCCCUAAGCUUUGUGCUGAUGAGGGAAGUAGAAGAAAGAAGAAAGUAAACAAGGGGGCAAAGAGUUGCCCGAAGUCAAUUCAAACAGUACCAUGAGCAGAGCAGGGGACAAAACACGGGUUCAUUCCAAAGGGUUACAAAUCAUCCUAUUCUAAAAAUUUAACAUCUUCACUCAGGGUAACUAUUUGAGAAUGAUGUCUGCAUAAUGGCAAAUAUCCUACUAGGUUCGGCCAAAACAGUAUGGUUAUUUACAAGUUGGGACCUAGUAUGCUCUAACUUCGAGUUUGACUUCUCUAUUCCCUCAAUUUGAUUUCCAAGGGUAUCCAGAAGAGUUGCUUGUUCAGCUUUAAGAGCAACCAGUUGUUCCUCCAGCUUUUGGAUUUCAGAAGUAAUAACUCUAACCCUUUCUUUUGUCUGCAAGCUUUCAUCCAUCAACCGAUCAACUUGAGCGGAGGUGCUUGACUCUUUCUCCAUAAAGCAUCUUGCCCGAUUAGCUUGUCUGUCAGCUCUUUGGUAUUGCUCCCUAAGAGCCCUUAAAUUCUCAAAACAAGAGAGAAAGGAAUCGUGUUUUGAAAGUACUUUAUAAUGGCAGAACAAGUAAAAUAGCUGAUGAGUCACUGCUUUUCAAGUUGCAUUCGGGCAAGGCUGUUGCUACAAGAGGCCAAGCUGAGUUGUCUAUAAAAGAAGAAAGAGAAAUCAGGAAUAAGGACACUCAAUCAAACAAACAAAUGCAAGCACAAACUCUGCUCAAAGCCAGAUUUGCCUUUAAAAUGAAGCUGUAGUCAGCCCAAGCCUUCAUCCCUCUCGGGACAAGCCUUCACUCAAACCUUUGUAAUAACUCUGCUACCCUGUUCAACCUUGCUGUAGUAUCGAUUUCUCUUUGUAAAAUCCUCUCAUUACCUCUCUCUAAAGCUCUCAGACCCUUGAUAAGCCACAAAGAUAGGGACUUGCAAGACGAUCACACUUGCCCGACAAGGUUAAACCUUGCCCAACCUUCUUUAUAUUUUGUCUUUUCAUUCAUUAGCCUAGCAAUAUGUGGUAUACUUCCAUUUGUACUCAAGUUAUUUCUAGUAAGAUGACUAUUAAAAGAAUCUCUCAAUACUUGGAUCCGAUUUGAAUAUAUCUUCAUUGUUCAAACCAGAUCUAAGUUCUAAGCCCUUGGGCAUGUAAAUUUUGAUCAGUUGAAAGUCCUUGGCCUCAAGGCAUAAAAAAGAACCUUAUGUGGACUUAACCCAUCCACGAUAGUCCUUGAUAAACAAGAAGUCCGAAGUUACUUGGGGCGCAAGUAAUCGACCUACCCCUUAGUUUUAUUUCUAUUAUAUUAUGAUUAUCAUAGAACGCUUAAGCAUGGAAUGGAUUCUGAUGGGAAGCCUCAAGGCCUACACCUAAGGCCCCCCAAAGGCACCUAUUUGGAUUCAUUCCGUUCCGCGGUCUAGAACGUCUGAGUAUAAAGAACGAAUUCUCAUAGGAAGCCUCAAGGCCUACACCUAAGGCCCCACAAAGGCAUCUAUUUGGGUUCGUUCUAUCUCUCGAUUCGGGUAAUCAGAAGUAUAAUAGUUGUAAGACUCCUGCAAUUAAUGGAACAAAUAUUAUGUGUUCGAGCACCAGUUUAGUUAUUGAUGGGAAGCCUCAAGGCCUACACCUAAGGCCCCACAAAGGCACCUGUUAUAACUAAGACGGUUUCUCGGGCAUAUAUAUAUAUAUAUAUAUAUAUAUAUAUAUAUAUAUACAACUAAAACUCGACAUCCAUUUUACAUCUGCCAUGCUAAAGAUGGCAGUGGCACGCCUGAGUACUUAGAAGUUAAUCUUGAUUGUGAGCCUCAAGGCCUAUACCUAAGGCCCCACAAAGGCACCUCUCAAAGUUAACGUUGUCAUUCUCUUCCAGCCUUGCCCGACGAGUCUUGCCCGAUAAGCCUUGCCCGACGAGCCUUGCCCGACUAAGCCCGACAGUGAAGCAGAAGCCCGACAACAGCUCUCAACUGGCGCCAACCUCCAGGGGAGCUGUGCGCUCGUCGGCCAGGAAACAUCCCCGACGAAAAUUCCUGACGCGAACAGUAUUCUCAUUUGCAAACUACAUUUUAGAACCAAGAACAAACGCAUUCAUAAAAAAGAAAGAAAUGUAGUGUUGUAAAGAUCCAAAACAUGAGAACAGUAGUUUAAACAAUUUAGAUACAAAUUUGAGCAGUCAACUUGAGUUUCAGGUUUAGCUAAUAGAAGAAUGUGGUGCAAACAAACUAAAAGUGGAUCCUGGCUAUGCUAAUGAGAUAUUAAUAUAAUGCAUACAACACUUUUGCACGUGUAUAAAAGCCUAGCAUAAUGAAUUCUUAUUAACUAUAUAUGGACAAUGAUUGAGACAUUACUCACAGAAAGUGAAAUGAAAUGUGUAUCACUUGUAGCAGCAAUAAAGGCCAGAGUCAUGAGAUAAUGAGCAACCUUUCCACAUUGAAAGCAAAUAAGAAAGUUUAUGAAACAUUGGACUAUUUAUAUGAAAAAAAUAUUAGGGAAUAUUGUUUCUAUCCAACUACAAUGAAUUGAAAAUUUAACUAAUCAUACCCAACGUAGUAAGAAUAAGGUUUUUGGCUAGGAUAACACAACUUUUUUCUUUGUUCCCAUUCACCAUUGCAGUUUCUCCUAAAAUAAUUACAAAUUUACAAAAGACAAAAAAUCUGUGUUAUUUUGACGUGUAUGAAACAACUAAAAUACUAUUGUCAAAAUUUGUAUGAUUUGGCCUAACUAACUAAAUGAUUUAUUUAUUUUGGUAGGGGAUUAACAAAUUAGGCAUAAGUAAGUAAACUACUUGCUAGGAUGGAUAAAACACUUUCAACAGCUAAAAGCUUUAUACAAAAGCUUUGCAACAACUUAGUUGGAGAGUACAGUACAUGAAACACUUCACUUCAAAACCAAAAAAAAAAAAAAAAAACCAUGAUUGAAUUUUACAAUGGUUAGUUCUACAUAUGAAAUUCUACAACACAAUCUGAAAAACCCGACCACAUUCUUUAACAAUCCAUUACCAAUGUAAAUUGGGAGACAGUAAGUGAUGUUGUAAUUAUGUAUUAUGAAAUCAUGUUGUAAUUAUGCAUGGAAUAGAGAAGAAUGCAAAGACAGUUUUCUAGUGCUGUUAAUAACAAUUCUUAAGCCAAUGUAUUAUAGAUUUAUUGAAUUUAAAGAGUAUAAAUUUAUGAGUGCUAAGAUAAUAUAUUACUUGAUCAGAAAAAGAAUAGUUUUCUCUAAUAAUAGGACUACCGUUAGAUUGAGUAAAGAUAAAUGAAAUUGUAUAUAAAAGUGUGCUCUUAAUUCAGUAUAACAUAUAAUGUCAAAUAUCUCAUGAUUUCACAAUCCUACUCUUUAUAUUGUCAGACAAUAUCAUGAUUCAUAACUCUGAAUUAGAACAUGAAAUGAGUUGUUCGAGUAAUGACACAUACUUUUUUUUUUACCUAGUAACAGAAUUUCCAACAGAUGUCAGCAUUCAUAUUCACAUUUGGAAUUCAUCCUUUAAUGACAUAGCAAGGCAACCUAAUUAAAGCAUGAAAAAAGCUUAAGAAAAAAUAUAAAUGCUUGCGAAAAAAAUCCACUUAGAAAUAACUUUCACGAAUGUUAGUAAGGCAGAAGAACCUUACAGUAUAUGCUGAUACAUAUUAUAUUUCAUUGCAGACUGAAAGAACUCAAAUAACCUAAAUAAAAAAACCUAACACACUUAUUAAAUCAUUCAAAAUAUAUAGAAAGGGAGAUAUUGGAAGCAACCUGUUGAAGUUCACCUCUGCGAUUAAUUUCCAUUUAGAAUCCUACACCACAAAACAAACAUUAAAACAACACCUUAGCCAGCCACCAUGCUCUCAAAAUUCCUCAAAUCUCUUAUACAUCACAAAGAGAAGCACAUGCAUCUAGAGAAUUGAAUAUUAGUAUCACUACUAGGUAUUCAGUUUCAUUGUUGUUUCUUCUCUUUGUUUUCAAUUCUUUUGAUCAUCCCCCAACAAAGUCAAAACCUAUUAAAUUAUUCUAGUCCAAUUGAGUAUUUUGAAGUUAUAUAUAUUAUUAUAUCUUUGUAAAGUUUUAUUUUCAUUUUUCAUAAUGCAUUUUAGUGAUUGAAACUGUGCUUUAUAUUUAACCUUCAUAUUCAAGAGUUAUUCUCGCAACCAAUGAUUCAAUCCUAUUAAUACACAAAAUCAUGACUCAUUAGACAAAAUUGUAAUGAAAAUGUCAAAACAAUUGAACAACUAAUCAAUUGUUGGCUUAGCUGAUUAUUUGUAUUAUUGAAAAAAAUUCUAAAAGUUAACAAUUUGGAUCAUUGAUUGACUACGCAUUGAAAAAUAGGAUGAUCAUUUUGUAGAAAACCUAUAUAUAGGUGAGUAUGUUUAUGAUUUUUUGUCAGUGAUUUGGUAAAAUCAAUCUUUCUUUUUAUAAAAAAGAAUUGGUUUACUCAACAAAAAAAUACAAUUGGUAACAAUAUUACUCAAAAGAUUGGUAGCUCAGAAUCAUUCGGCUUGUCGGCAAAGGAAGACAUGCUGUUUUAUCGAAUGUGCAAUUGCACAGCUUUAUUAUCUAUCGAAUUUGCUAAUUUUUUUGGUCGGCUAGUACAUGCAGUUGUCUGCAGUUGAGAUCUAGGAGUUGGAUACCAAUAGAAAUUAAGAGAAGAAGAAAAGUCGUCACAAUUUAUUACUAGUUGUAAGUAAAGGACUGACAUAGGCCACAAAAAAUCACACAUAAAAUGAACGCAGGAGAAUUGUAUAUCGUGCAUAGAGAGAGUAGAAUUAGCUGUGACCGUUUGUUUCCUUGAAUACCACACAACUACACAAGACUUAUCUGUAUAUAUAUGAAGUAUUUGUGCAUCAUAGGUUUGAUUCAGUUGUAUAUGGUGAUUGAGUACGUAGUAUAUCGAUGGAUUAGAAGUUUACCACAAACACCAUGUACAACUGAAGAAUGUAAAUUUAUCUGCUCAAAUAAAUUGAUUGAGAAACUUUUUUUAGCGUCACAGUGAUAAUUUCAGUGUUAGUACAUGUCUAUUAGGUAGUUGGCAAUGCUCACAGUUUGUAAUGAAGAGUUGGUCAUCUCGGGCUUCCAUUAUUAGUAAAAAAGUUCACGUGAAAAUGAUUCAAGGUGAAUUUUUAGGCAUGCAUGCUGUAUGACUUUGUUUUGGCAGUAUUAGGCGCACAUACCAGCUGAUCACGGUUACUUGUUCACACUACAAAAGUACCCACUGGUGUCAUUUGAAAAAACGACAAGAAAAAUUUAUUACUGUUGGAUAUAAGCAAAAAUCCGACAAAAAAAUCAUGUAUUGGUAGAUAAAAGAACCGACAACAUUGCUUGUGUCACGAAAAGGCUUUUGUUGUCGGUUAAUUCUCUUAAACCGCCAGGAAAACGCAAAGCAUUUUAUAAUAAAAAAGGACAGUAGUGUCGGAUAGAGGCGACAUUAAAUACUGAAACAAAUUGUCAGAUAGAGCAGGUUUGUGUCGCCCCUAACCGACACCACCAACCAUUAAUAAAUAAAAAUAAACAAAGCUAACACUUUCUUUCAGUCGGAUAAAGACACAUUUUGUCGUUCAUAACCAACAUAAAAUAUAUUAAUAAUUAAAAAAAUAUAUAAAAACGAAAAUUUGUUGCAGUCCUAUUAGAUUAGGAACGCGAUUGUGUAAAUGCUAGUGUAUCUAGGAACAUCUUUGUAUAUUCCCUUUAGUAGUUACAUUCCUAUUGAGUUAUAAUCCUAUUAGGGUAAGGAUUUAACCUUUCCUACUAAUAUAAACAAAGGCACAAUGCGGUGAUACAACACACACCUUAGAAUUACAUCUCUCUCUUGCCGUCGACCAUCUCCCUCCCUGUCCUAAAUAUAGUUCAGUAAAUUAAGAUAAGGAACUAAAGGAUUGUGGAGGAGGCUUUCUACUACAACAUCAAAGGCUUUUAAUUAUUUUCUGCCAAUCAGGUUCUUUUAAAAUAAAUUAAGAUAUUUAAAACAACCUUGAAGCAUGAAAAUAUUUGUCAUGAUGCAUGAACCCCCUAUAUUUAUAUUUUCCUUUCAAUUAUAUAUAUUGUAUAUAUGUUCAUAUAUUUUGUUAAUAUAUAUAUUUGUUCAUGCAAUACGCAAUUCUACUAUGUGAAAUUUGUGAGUCAAAGCAUCGAAAUUAAUUUAGAAGCAAUUAGGGUUUUUAACCCUAGAAUUUGAAAAAAAAAAUAAAUUUGGGAUUGAGUAGUAGUUCCACUCUGCACCACCGAGCCAACAUGGCUGGCCUGCAGCCAUGCCAUCACCAUGAUGGCAUCGUUUCGAUGCCAUUGCAUAGCACCAGGCCUCGCCUUAGGUAGGUUUCCACACAGGCUUGAAACCCCGAGCCACCAGCAAGCCUACAGCCUUGCUGGACCGUCCCCUAUAGCCUGGCCCAAUCUGCCAGCAAGCCUUUGUGCUUGCUGGGCUUUGUUCUCACUCUGGCACGCCUGCAACCUUGUGAGGCUUUGUCCUAGCCUCGGCCUGCGAUCUGAAACCAGCCUUGUGUUAUGUGUUCUUGUAGGUACCCUUAUAUGAACUAAACGUUCAUAACUAAAUUGUACCUGUAGUUUAAAAUUUAGUGCCUUUGAAACCCAAAGUUUUUAUUCAAAAUUUACCACUUGAAACCCGUAGCUUUCUUGCGUAAAUUAAACCAAUACAUGUCUAUAGAACCUGCAUGUUCUACGAUAUAUGUUUAUGGUUUUCCAUAUUACUAACUACAUCUCGUUGUACCCUCUAUUUUAGGGACAUGUAAAACUUGAAUAAGCUCGAUUUCAUGGCUCUGGAAGUCUCUGGAAGAAACUAUCUAAAGUGGGUUCAAGACGUGAAACUCCAUCUUACUACAAAGAGUCUUAGAGCUACUAUUGAGGAACCUAUUGAUGAUGAACCUGUCAACGAAGCUCAGAAAGCUAUUAUUAUGAUCUUCAUCCAAAGACACAUCCAUGAUGCACCGAGUACCUAGCAAAAGAUGAUCCAAGUACCUUUUAGCUCACUCUAGCUGAUCGCUUCGAUCACCAGAAAGACAUUUACUUGCCUGAAGUAAGACACGACUGGUAGCAUUUACGUUUCCAAGGCUUUAAGUCUGUGAAUGAAUACAACUAUGAAGUUUGUAGAAUCCGAUCACUCCUUAAGUUCUGUAAAGAGGACUUAACCGAACAUGAGAAGACUUAUUCGACCUUUAAUGCCAUCAAUAUUGUCCUGCAACAACAAUAUAGGGCGUAGAAGUUCACCAAAUUUUUGGAUUUGAUAUAUGUUUUACUUGUCGUUGAAAAGCAGAAUAAGCUUUUGAUGAAAAAUCAUCAAGCUCAAUCCACUGGCUUAAACGCUCCGCUUGAAGCGCAUGCGAUCAAUUUUAAUAGCCACAAUUGACGGAAACCCCGCUGUGACCGUGGAAAAGGGCGGCAAACCCCACCAUGGGCCAAAGGUCCACAAUAUGAGGCCAAUCCAAGGGAGGAAUUUUGACCCAGAAGCGCCAACCUUCUGAAAUGGAAAUGUGCUAUCAUUGUGGAUCAAAGGAUCAUUGGUCACGCGUAUGCCGAGCUACCCCCGAUGCUAUUGCCAAGUAUCAUUCUCGUCGUGAGACUAACUUUGUGCAUGUAGAACAUCUCGAAGAUGCUAUCAUAACUCUAGAGGUUUCAGAUUUUCAGGAGGCAACUGCUCCCAUGGCAGAAUAAAGUUUUAUUUUUCUAAGACAUGUUAGGGUGUUUUUGUAAACAUGAAAAUUCUGUAUCGAAUGAAAUGAGAAUACGUGUACAAAGUAGGUUUGUAUUGAUGAAUUUGUAGGGUUACAAUCUCUGUUUACUAUUUUCCUCUGAUUAAGUCUUCAAAUUUGAUGUAGAUGGUUGAUUGUUGAUCCAAGGGUCGCGAUGACUUGAUCGCGAACAAACAAUUGAAUGAUUGCUUCAAGUUUUGAGCUUGAAAAUAAUGCGUGGAUGGUCUUCACCUCAGGUUUAGGGCUGCAGCAAAGGUAAAGUUGAUGUAGGACUUUGUUGAUUCAAGGGUCUUGAUGACUUGAUCUUGAAUCGAACGUCGUUACAAGUUUUGAGCUUGUAAGAAAGUCUUGAAGGAAUCAGCAUAAGUGCUUGUUGAUUCUUCAAGGGAAUGCUUUGGCUUUAGUUGAAAGAAAGCUUUGGCUGUGGUUGAAUGUUCUUUGAAGAAAGCUUUGGUAGCGUAUUAGUCUUCAAAGAUCUGGCAAAGGUUCUCAUUUUGUGAGAAUUCCAACCUUUCAAUGUAGAAAUUGUCGACCCUUUGUUUGUCUUGGGACCUUGUAUUUAUAGACUUCCAAAUCCAUGCCUUUGGGUGGAUUUGGCUUUGAUUUCUCGUCCAUGAGAGAAUUUAGGCAUGUUUUGUGUCUUGUUUCAACCACUUUCCCCUAGCUUGGCCGAAUUAUAGGGCUUGUUGCCUAUUUUGGGAGCAAUCUUCAAUUCUUGUUUGUUUUAUGAAGAUACUUUAGCUUUUUUUUUGGUUUUGAGAGCACUUUAGGCCCCUUGCCGAUUUUAAGGGAUAUUUUCUCCUUUUUGCCGAAUUUUGGGAAGUGUGUACUUCCUUUGCUUGAUUUGUGUCACAUGUCAUUGAUGACAACCAUUCGCACCAUUAAGACCCAUCACAUGGCUAGCCCUAUGGCUGGGUUCCAGAGAACUCUCAUGCUUUGGUAUUAUCGAAUGGAACACCUUGGAUGAGAUAUGAUGCGUCGAAUCCUUAAACUAUCACAUGGGCAUCACUUAAAAUCUUAUCCCGGCCAUCUGUUUUGCAAAGCAUGCUCCCUGAGGAAGUUGAACAUUCAACCCUCACAUGCAAAGAUUAAUCACGACCCCCCUAAGUUUCUUCAAAGGGUUCAAGGGGAUAUUUGCUGACCUGUCCAAGUAACAUGUGGACCAUUUAGAUACUUCAUGGUGUUGGUUAAUGUAUUGAUGCGAUAUUCAUAUGUUUGCUUAUUGUCAACACACAAUGCUGCAUUUGCGAAACUCCUAACAUAAAUUAUUAAGCUUAGGGCUCACCACACUGAUUAUCCAAUUAAGACGAUUUGACUGGAUAAUGCUGGAGAGUUUGCGUCACAGACUUUUGACGAUUAUUGCAUGUCUAUUGGGAUUGAAGUUGAACAUCUUAUACCCCAUGCUCAUACCCAAAACGGCCUGGUAAAAGCUUUCAUAAAGCGCAUACAAACAAUAGCUUGGACUUUGGUUAUGUGAACCAAUUUGCUGGUAUCUUUCUGGGGCUAUGCAAUAUUACACGCAGCUAUAUUGGUCUGCCUAAGGCCCACUGCUACCCAAUCUCAUUCACCGUUAUAGUUGGUUAUUGGAUAUGAGCCUAACAUUUCACAUUUACAUAUGUUUGGGCGAGUAGUCUAUGUGCCAAUAGCGUCGCCAUUACGUACCAAAAUGGGUCCUCAGAGACAAAUGGGAAUUUAUGUCGAUUAUGAUUCACCAUCAAUUAUUCGUUACUUAGAGUCCUUGACAUGAGAUCUCUUUACCGCACAUUUUGUGAAUUGUCACUUCGAUAAGACAUUCUUCUCGUCGUUAGGGGGAGAUAAGAUCACUAACGUUUCUGUAGAGCGCAGUAAAUUAUCGUGGAUUACUCCCACUAUGUCUUAUUUAGAUCCCCGCACUCCUCAGUCUGAAACUAAACUGCGAUGUAUUCUAAAUCUCCAGAGCAUUGCUCAGAGCAUGCCGGAUGCUUUUACUGAGCUAGUAAAGGUGACGAGAUUACAGAUACCAGUUGCAACCGCACUUACAAGAAUGGACGUACUUAACAUACGUUGUACCACCGCCUUAGAAAACCGGACUGUCCUCGAGGGUGGGGUGGCCGCACCUCCCACGUAGCCUGGUACACUGGCUGCUAGUUAAUCAUCUACUCCUACCUUGAAUGGAAAAUCCCCUGGUUGAAAGGAUUCACAACCUUGAAAGAGGAAAAUGGCACAAACUAGUGACCUUAGUUUGAAUCUGACCAUUGCUUACUCAUUUGUUCCAACGCAUGAGCUUAUUCUAGAUUAUGGUAAUGUCUUAGAUGAGACAAACCGGCCUCCCGAGAAUCGUGAAAUUUUGGUUAACUACGCAGUUUUGGAUGAGGUUUGGAAUCAGAAUGAGAUGAUUGUUGAUGAUGCAUUCGCGUAUACAGUUGCUUCUAACAUCAUGCUUAGCGAUGGCAUUGAACUAUGCCCGUUGAUGAAUGUCAACAUAGAACGGAUUGGUCAAACUGGAAGCAAGCAAUCCAGGUAGAACUCGAUUUGUUGCGAAAUGUAACAUGUUUGGGCUCGUAGCUACACGUAGACACUGGAAUGGUGUUAAAGAUAUUUUCCGCUACGUCAAGGGUAUGACGAAUUUAGGCUUGUUUUAUACUCAUGAAUCCUUGAGAAGGGCCGCCGCCCCCUCGGUCCUUGGGUUGAUCUUGCCUCGUUGGUUACACAGAUGCUGGUUAUCUGUCUGACCCACAUAGGGCACGUUCUCAAACGGGCUAUGUUUUUACUAUUUGAGACAUUGUUAUAUCUUGGAGGUCGCUAGUUGUGACUUCUUCGAACCAUGCUGGGAUUCUCACCCUACAUAAAGCAUAGCCUGAGUGCUUUUGGUUAAGAUCAGUCAUGGGACAUAUUCGAAGCACUAGUGGUCUCACUUCCUUCGUUAACCUUCCUACGACGAUCUUUGAAGACAAUAUAGCAUGUAUCGAGCAGUUAAAGAAGGGAUAUAUCAAGGAAGACAACACCAAGCAUAUAGCACUAGAGUUCUUUUAUUCUUACCAGCAACAACAAUAUCAGAACAUUGAAGGCAAGCAAAUAUGUUCCCAGGACAACCUAUUCGAUCUCUUUACCAAGUUGUUGCCUAAGUAUACUAUUAUCUGAGUUGAAAUGUUUGUAGUUCUCUUAUUUGGAAGUUAUGUCUAACUCAAGGGGAGUAUUCUGAAGCAUACUCACUUGAUCUUAAUGUACUCAUUUUCCUACGAUUAGAAGUAUUUUUCCCACUUGGUUUUUGCUACCUAACGAGGUUUUGAUGAGGCACAUAUCCUAUGAUGAUUAUACUCUGUUAAGUUCACUUCUUUCGUCCCAUUUGACGUUUGUUUUAGACAUUAUGCAUACUUCUCACUUUUCUCCUUAUUCUAUGGAUUUUUACCUACAUUAGGUUUUACCAUCAUGAGGUUUUGUGAGUUUUACUACCCAUGCAUACUUUCUUAUAUUUGAGAUUCGCAUUUAUCCAUUGUGCCGAUGACUUCAUCAACUGUUCUACCUUAUCUGCUAAAGAUCUUUUGCGAUGUUUUGUUUGAGUAUUUACACACUCAAGGGGGAGUGUUGCUGAUGUGAAAAUUACUUGACCCAUAAAUUAAACCCUAUUGAUGACAAUUGUAGCAAAGAUGUAAGUAGGGAUUGUUCUAAACCAGGGAUUAACUAGGGCUGCUAAUCUACUCAAAUUAAAGUAUAAAACACUAAACUGGACUUAAAAACACAAGAAUAGACUCUAUAGACUCUAAACUGACCUAAAACACUCAAAACAACAAAACUAGAUGGAAUUGACUCAAUUCUAGACCUAAUAAGUGAUUUGGACGAAAUUAGAACUUACUUUGACUCAAAAGACUAAAGGAAAACAGAUUAUGACUUAACUAACCCAAAACACACUUAAAAGACUUAAAACAGCACAAUACUAACAAUUAGACUCAAAACAGACUCUAGGGAAUAAAUUGGACGAAUUUAAGACUAAAUUUAGACUCAAACAACGUUUAUGGACUAACUCUAACCUAUAUUAACUCAAAACACUCUAAAGAACCUAAAUUGGACAGAUUCUGACCUAAAAACACAAAAUAGAAAAGAGGGUUUGGUUUCUGACGAAAUUGAAUUAAAACUAAACAAAUUGCAAAACAAAGUAAACUAAAACGAAAUUGAGACGAAUUCAAGGGUGAACGGCUAGUUAGAGGAUCCUUCUCCACACAUGAACAUAUGCAACGUAAAUCGAUUUCUAUUAUUGUUUCUUUAAACCAUGAAUGACAAUGCCCCAAAUUAAUCGUGAAUGCACAAAUUAACUCUUAGAUUUCUCUAAAUUCAUUGAAUUGAAUGGACAACGUAUCGCAAUCAAAUUAUUCUCAUCAAGUUCCCUAUAUGAACAGCAUGAUAGAGAUACAUUCAAAGAUCAUUAAGUUCCAUGGAAAUCAUAAGCAUUGACAAGGCAAUUAUAACUAUGAACUGUAUGAUACUCUUGCCAAGAAUCUACUUAACACGAUUGUGACUAACAAUCUCCACUACUUGUAAUUAUAAGUUCCUAACGAUUAGGUGAAAGUCCUUUAUAAUUUAGCAUCAGAUUCAUGCAUGCAAACUAAGUAGGCAUCCUUAAUCAACACACAAGAAUAAGUUAUCAAUCAAAUAGAUAAGUAAAUCACAUUCAUAUUUUACGAAACAAUAACUGAAAGGAAUCAAUUCAUAUUAAACAUAUGUCCAUGGCUUCAAAUUCACCACUAACUAAUAAGAACUUAGUUACACAUGUUCAUAGCAAUUGAAAAGCAAAUUGAAAUAAACAUUGAAACUAAAACGAGGGAAGAAAGAACUCUUAGAACUCCCAAUGAUGCAGAUGGCUUGUGCACAAGGUCCUCCUUCAUCAAUGGAAUGCACGACAAUGAUCUUCUUCUUCUCCAAAGGGUGUGGCAGAGAUGUAUGUUGGUGUAGAAUGAUGUAGAAUGGUGUAUAGGGUGCGGCAAAGUGUGUUUCUGAAUGGUAUGAAGGGUGGUGACGAAUUUGUAUUGAAAACAUGUAUAUAUAGGCUUGGCAAAACCCUAGGGUGAAUCAAAUUAGGGUUAAAACUUAGCAGAUUUUAAGGAUUAAGGCCCAAGGAUUCGGCACAAUUAAUUAAAUCCACUAAGGAGAGGGUUUGGCCCAAUUAAUUUCAGAAAAGGAUUUGUAUAACCCAAAUCCACAAGGAAUACGGCUAAUAUAAUCAGAAUCCAAGGGGAAUUGGGUGAAGAAUGGUACGUAACUAUAGUAUCUAAACAUACAUAUGUCUGUAAUAUGCAUAUACAUAUAUAUGGAGAAAUUCACGCACAAUUAAAAAUAUAUGAUAAUAUAUGACUUUUCUUAUUAUGGGAACUUAAUAAUAACUAUCAAUGAUAAAUAACAUUUUUAUUAUUUAUGGGAAGCAAUAUAUUACCUACAAACAAAAAACUCAACAAUUAUUACAACCUAUUUAAUAUUAAAAAAUUACAAUUAAAUGCCAAGAAUUAAAAUUAGUUUUUAAUCUUAGAUAAGGUUUUAUUCAAAAAGUAAUCUUAGACAAGGAUUAGAAAAGAAUUUUCUGAAAUAAUUUUUAGUUUGAUAAAUAGAGAAAUGUUGAUGUGGCCUAAUGUACCUAAGUGUUUUAAUCAAAAUCCUAAAAGGCACAUAUGUUUGAUUAAAAAAAUUUAAAUUGCAUUAUUUAAAAAAAAAGACAUUUUAGGCUUAAUUUGUACCAAUAUAUUAAUUUCUUUUUGUCCCUUAUUUUUUAAACUUUCAUUUGUGCUCAUAAUAUUUUUAACCUUUUAUUUCUACCCAUAAUUUAUUUAUAAUGUGUCACAUCCCGGCCCGGGUCCACCACAUCCCAGGCUCGUUCCACCACCGUAGCACGAUAUUGUCCGCUUUGGGCUUAUCAUUUCCUCACAGUUUUGUUUUUGGGAACUCAUGAGCAACUUCCCAGUGGGUCACCCAUCUUGGGAGUGCUUUGGCCUCCUUCUUGCUUAACUUCGGAGUUCCUACGGAACCCGAAGCCAAUGAGCUCUCAAAAGGCAUCGUGCUAGGUAGGGAUGAAAAUAUACAUUUAAGGAUCACUCCCCUGGGCGAUGUGGGAUGUUACAAUCCACCCCCCUUAGGGGCCCGACUUCCUCGUCGGCACACUUCCGGCCAGGGAUUGGCUCUGAUACCAUUUGUUACAUCCCGGCCCGGGUCUACCACAUCCUGGGCUCGUUCCACCACCGUAGCACGAUAUUGUCCGCUUUGGGCUUACCAUUCCCUCACAGUUUUGUUUUUGGGAACUCACGAGCAACUUCCCAGUGGGUCACCCAUCUUGGGAGUGCUCUGGCCUCCUUCUCGCUUAACUUCAGAGUUCCUACGGAACCCGAAGCCAAUGAGCUCCCAAAAGGCCUCGUGCUAGGUAGGGAUGAGAAUAUACAUUUAAGGAUCACUCCUCUGGGCGAUGUGGGAUGUUACAUAAUGUACCCAUUUUUCUUUUCAAAUGUACCACUUUCUUAUAUGCAAAAUGUAUCCUCUUUUUUUUUUUUUUUUUUUUUGUAAGUACUAUUUUUAUGUAAAAUGUACUCAUUUUUAAUGUAAAAUCUAUUUAAUUUUUUUAAUCUAAAAUGUACCAUUUAUUUAUUUUUUAUAUAUAAAAUGUACCCAUUGUCUUUUUUAUAUAAAAUGUACCCAUUUUUUGUUAUAUAAAACGUUCCCCUUUUUUUGUAUUAAAUGUACCAAUUUGGUAUGUAAAAUGUAUGUACCCAUAUUGUUAUAUAAAUGUACCAAUUUUUUAUUUGUAAAAUAUAACCAAAUUUUAUUAUAUACAUGUACUCAUAUUUUAUAAAAAUAAAAUUAAAUCACCUUUUUUUUUCUUUUUUUUUUUUACAAUCUAGAAUGUCCCCAUAAGCAUUUUUUUUAUAUUUUAUUAUAAAAAAUCAUAAGCAAAUUUGAAUAAUUGAAUUGGUAGUGUAAAUGAAAGCAAAAAAUAGUUGAGUAUUUAUUAGUAUUAUUGCAUCUUUUUAUUAUUAUGUCAUUUAUGUGACAGGAGAGGAACUUCAAUAAAAAACCUAAAAUGCAUAAGGUUUGAGUCUAUAACUGUUAUGAACCAGAGAUCGCAACUAAACUAUCCCAUUGCUUGUCAAAAGAAAUUAUUAUCAUUAGCAAGUAUGUCAAACUUGUUUAAGUUCUCUCAUUAUAUGGUUUGAUUGAGGGAAUUAAUUAAUGACCCCAGCUAAAGAACUCAUUGAAGGAUAGAAUGAAUUUUUCUAUGUAUAAUGGACGCAUGCCAACAUAUUCACAUGUGUUGUAAAAUCGACGGCGUGUGCAGUGGAAUAAAUAAACAAGACACAAAAUUUACGAGGUUCCUCUACAGUCAGUGUGACUGGAGUACGUCCUCGGGACAGCAGUAGUGCUUUCAUUAUAAUCUGAAAUAAUAAGAGUACAAAGAUAACUCUCUUUAUUAUCUCAUCUCCUCUUCCUCUCUUUUCUCUCUUUCUUUUCCUUCCGCUCUCUCCCGUGAGUCCCUCACAUUCAUCUCCAAUUCUUCCUUUUUUUUUAUCACACCUUUUGAACACUUGUAAUGCUCUAUUUAUAGAGUAAACAAAACACUAUUAAACUUGUGAAAGGUUUACUAUGUGCAUGUGGGCAUACAUACCCACUAUUUACAACACUCCCCCUUGGAUGCCCACAGUCUUCAAUUGACUCGUUAAGAUCUUAAUCUAUUUUGGAUGCUCCCCCUAAUGAGUAUCUCCCCCUGAUUUCAAAUCAUUUAGGCUGAUCGUUGAUCAUUCUGCUUCAAUCUCUUAGUAAGAAGAGUUGCCGAAAGAGGUGCUUUACUUGUUGUUAACUUUCCACAAACUUGUUCUUGAACUGAGUUGGAGGGCUUUCUACUAGACUUGCUUCAAAAAUAUGAAUUUACUCCUUUUAUCUGGAGCGGAAUUUGAUUCAAGGGUGGUCGACACUUGAUCUUGAA